UUGUUAUUAUCAUUCUAUUUAUUUAUUUAUUUAUUUUACAUUUUUUGUUAUUAUCUAUUUUAAUUUUUUAUAUAACACUCAUUUCAAAUUUUUAUACAUUAUUUACUUUAAUAUUUUCAUAUAUUAUGUAUUUCAAACUUUUUUUUACACAUUAUAUAUUUUGAAUUGUUUAUAUAUUAUUGUAAUAAGGCCAUUUCACCCGAGCCCAUUUCGCCCGGGCCCAUUAGAAUAAAAAAUAGAAUUUAAAACUCAAAAAUAAAACAAAAAUAAAAAAAACACACAAAUAAAGAGCCCAAAAUCAGAAGUCCAAUGUCCGGUUACAAAUAUUUGGGCCAAAAGUAACUUAAACCCAAAGUCCCUUAAUAUAAACUUAACCCAGUUACAUAAAACUUGACCCAAUCCUAAAACCUAAUAACUAAUAACCCAAACCCGCAGCCCAAUUCACAAACGGCCCAAAAGGCCCAGCUGCUUGGAAAUGCCAGAAACCUAAGGGUUUCUAGAACACACCAGUGCUGCAAUCGAGCUCACGCACGGCUUUCACGAGCGACUUUCUCCGUACGGUCGUUUCUCCAUACCUGCAAAAGAAUAUACGAGAAGAAGCAACAACAGAAUAUACAGCCAAAUGACAGAAGGAAAAUGUAUUUUUUAUUUUUCAUUUAUUCUGUAAAUUUGGCUACAAAAAGCCAUUAUUUGUACCUCGAUUUUUUACGCAUAGUAUACACUUACGCACGCAUACUAAAUACGAGAAAAAGUAUUUCAAAAGCAAAUUUGCAGAGGUGAUUUUCAGUUUCUUACUUACUUUAAUUUUUUCGAUUGAAUCAUUUUAUUUUUUCUUUUCAAUCUUUCGUUAUUAUAUUUGAAAAUAAGAAGGAAAGCAAAAUGGGGGGUCUUACUUUGCAAAAUCGCCACGGAUUCUUCUUUGCUUCGCUAAAAUCGAAGUCUGAGGAGUGGUCUUGAGGCUGCAAAUUGAUUUCCUGGUUCCAAGUAGUUCUAUCAUCGGCGGCGGCAUGCUAAAGGAAGCCCUAAGGGAAUGGGCUGAUAGCACAACUUACUUUAAAUUGAAGGAUUUGCGUUUUAAGUAGAAAGCAAUUGAAAAAGGGGGGUUUAACAGCAGAUCCAGAAACGGCGUCGUUCCAAAGAGGGGUAGGGUCCGCGCGUCAACCCGCUUGGAGACCCGAAUCCACCCCUUUGCGCCUAAAAUGGAUUAUUUGUGCAGCUGGCCCUUCCCAAUCGCGCUGCGUUGUGAUUAACUCCUUUUUGCGUCUGAUUGGUUUUGGUUCUAUUAAAAUCUUCCCUAAAGUUUGUUUGAUGUUGCAUCUUAGUCCAUGCCUCAAUGCAGUGUUUCAGGAUCAGGGAUAAUUUCAAUCUUAGUCCCUGUGAAUUCACGCAUGUUAAACAUGGAUCCUUUUAUUAUUAGAAGCUUAUUUUAGUUGUAAAUUAUUCUUUUUAUUUCUUUACCUUGAUUUUCAUUAAGUAAUUCGUUAGAUUUAUGUUAUAGUUUUAAAUUUGGAUUUAUUUAUUCGUACAUUUUGAGUUACUUUAUUAAUAUAUAUAUAUAUAUAUAUUUUUUUUUUAUUUUUUAUUUUUUUGUAUUAUUUAUAUUAUUUAUAAUGUUCAUAUUAAUUGUAUCAUUUGUAUUAUUGGUUAUUUAUUGGUUGUAAUUUAGGUAAUUGCAUCUCCACAUGUUGCACACAAUUUUAUACAAUGUUGUAAUUUGCUUUAUAUGUACAGUUAAUUGUUUGUUUCCUUCACCAAUUUAUGUUAUAUAUGUAAUUGUUGGUUAAAAUAAAAUCAUAUAUUUUCUACAUUAUUUAAAUUCUAACUAUACGUAUACAAAACCAUUGGUAUAUAUCAAAUUUAUCUAUAUUUACUAAAUAUUAGUAUUUUAUACAUAUAAUUUUUAACAAAUUUAUAUAUAAUUGCAAUUUUUUUUACUUUAUUUGUCAUAUAUAUAAUUUAUGCUAAUUGUAAGUUAAUUUUAUAAUUCAUAUUUUUUAUUCCAUACUAUUUUAAUAUUCAAUUAUUUUAAAAAUGUCUUCAUGUGUACAUUACCCAUUUUAAAUUAUUUUUACUAUAGUACAUGUUAUUAUUUUCAUAUAACUUUAUGUAAAUAUUUUUUUAUGUAUAUAUUUUCUUUUAAAGUUAUUUAUGCGUAUAAGAUAUUUUUUAAGGACCACCUUUUAAAUUGUACAAUUUAUUUAUCGUAUAUAUUUUCAUAUUUUAUUAUCCUCAUGUAUGCAUUAUUUGUAUGUACCAUCAAUCCAAAUUAAUUUGUUACAUGUAAAAGUAUGUUAUAUAUUAUUUGUUUUAAAUUUCCCUUUAUAAAUAUAGUUUUAUGAAUAUACAUCACCAAAUUUAUAUAUUUUGUAAAUAUAGUUUUUUACCUUUUUGUGUGUAUGAUUAGAUUUUUUUAAAAAAAAAAUUCGUUACAUGUAUAAUUUAUAUAUUUACUUAUUUUUUAUAUACAUUAUUAAUUUCACGCUAUCUUUUACAAAUAAUUAUUUUCAAAAUUAUUUAUAUAUACAUGUUUUAUAAAUUUGCAAUAACAUUAUAUCUUAUCAUGUGUUUUAUUUGUCUUUUAUAUUCUAUAUAUUAUUUAAGUUAUCAUGCACAUUGUAAAUCUCUAAAUUGUGUUUAAAAUAUUUUGUAUAUUAUUUGAUUCAAAUGUUUUAUUCUAUAAUAUUUAUUUUAAAUAAAUCUCUAGUUUUUAUACAAGUUUGUCAACUUAUAUAUAGUAUAUGUUAAUUAAUUCGUCAAUUUUAAAAAUGUCUUAUACUAUACUAAAGUUCUAAUUCCAUUGCAUUUUGUACAUAUUUUAUGGAUAAUUUUAUAUUAUGUCAUGUGAAUUAUUGUUGUAUAUCAUUUUUAUUGAUUGUUUAUUGUCCAUGAUUAAGAAUUUGUCACGUUUUGCUUAGAAUAGUUGUACAUAAUUGUGGAUUUGUUAAUUAUAAUUUGUUGUGUCCUAUUAUUUCAUGUUCGUAAAUUCUUUCUCAUGCAAACGUUUUGAUACAAUUCAUUAAGCAUUCCAUUUUAAAAUAGAUAAACACGUUUUGAGCAAAUUUUCAAUUUUCUUUAUCAUUCAAAAAUUCUGAAAUAAGGCAAUAUCCAAUAUGUGGGGAAUUCGGAAAAUCGUACUCAAUCGUACUGGGUAUGAUUUUUCGGUGAACCAAAUAUUUGGAUAACCUUUUUAUAAUUUUAGUGUACGAGUUUUCAAAAGUCAAAAAUCAAUCGUAUUUUUAAAGGUAUAAAGGAUCGUAUCCAAUCGUACUGGGUAUGAUACUGCAUAUCUUUGAAACGAGAGAUUUUUCACUGCUAAUUUGAGCUAUUCAAACAUUUUAAAAAAAUCAUACUUCGGAAAAUCUUUUCUUUAAAAAGCUUUUGAUAUAAGGACAGCAUCAAAUCAAUUUAGUACCAAUUUUUGGGCGUAAUGAGGGUGCUAACCCUUCCUCAUGCGUAAUCGACUCCCGAACUCAUUUUUUUUUAUUUUACAUGAACCAAAUUUAUUUUUCAUUGAAUAAAGUGUUUUAGUAGGUGGUUCAAUCACACCUAAAUCAAGAGACUGGUGGCGACCCCACAUUUUUUGUUUUCAAAAGUCGAUCCCCAUUGUUUUCAAAAUAAAAAGGGUUUCGACAAUUAUUUUUAAAGAAGUUUUAUAUAUUAUUUUAUCUUGAAUGGAUACUAUUUUUUAAAAAAAAAUUAUUUUAUAUACUUUAGAUCGUUAUUAUAACAUCCAUUUUAAAUCCUUUUUAUGUAUUAUUUGCUUAGAAUUGUUUUAUAUUUUAUUUUAGAUUUUCUUACUUUGUAUUUAUUUGUUAUUUGUGAUUCAUUAUUAUAACAUUUUGUUUAUGAAUUAUUACUUUGCGUUGUAUAUUAUUAUUCCAUCGCAUUUUAUUCGCUUAAAAGGUCGUGUUUUAAUAUCGUUUAAGUUUUAAAAUCAUUUUAUUCAAAAGUUUUCAAAAUAAGGCAAUACUCGGUAUUUGGCAUCUUUGAGAAGAUUGUGCCCUAACUUACUGGGUUCCAAUUUUCCUCGUUGAAUCUAAGUAACCGGGUACCCUUUUUCAAUCAAAAUGUAUAAGUUUCAAAUAAAAGCUUAUUCUCAGGAAUUCGAGGUGUUGUGUCCUAACUCACUGGAUAUGACAUUUUGUAUCCCGAGAUAAGGAUUUCUAAAAAAUAAAGGCAAUGUUCUAUGUUUGGAAAUCCGAGAAAUCGUGCCCAAUCGUAUUGGGUUUCGAUUUACCAUUUAACCAAAUAGCCAAAUGUCCUUUUGAAAUUUCAAAUGCAUGAAUUUUGGAAAUCAUGAAAUGAUCUUAUAUCGAGGGUUCGAAAUGUCGUAUCCUAUCGUGCUGAAUAUAAUAUUUUAUUCCUUCUGAGCGAGAGAAUCUCAAUGUCCAAUUCAAGAUAUCUAAACAUUUUUAAAGGAAUUGCGUUUUAAAAUAUUUUUCCAAAUUUUCAACAUUAGGACGUUAAUUGAUCUAUAUGGUACCAAUUUUGGGCGUUGCAAGGGUGCUAAUCCUUCCUCGCGUGUAACCGACUCCCGAAUCCAUUUUCUUGUUUUUCGUAGACCAAAAGCGUUGUUUUAAUAAACCAAAAUGCUUUAUUAAAAUAAUUGAUCACAAGGUGACCCGAUCACCUAAACAAAAAGGAUUGGUGGCGACUCCAUACCUCGUUUUUAAUAGUCGAUCCCUGUUUUUUUAAAAUAAAUAAUGGUUUCGACAAGAAGUUUUUAGCAUUAAAAAAGAAAAGCUUUCCGAAAAGGUACGCAAAAAGUCCAUUGUUACGGAGCUUAUGUUGUUGAAUGUAUGUGGGAGCUUUGUUUUAAAGGACCAAAAUGUUAGAAUCAUUAUGAGUGGAGUUCACAACUAAAAUAGUAAGGCUUUUUUUGUUCCUUGGAUUUCAGAAAUAAUGUUUCAGUCUAGUUCUUUGUCAUGUUGCACAAACACAUGAGCAAUACUUUUCAAGCUGCCAUAUAUGUACACUGUGAUAUUAGCCUUUCAAAGACAUAAAAAAAGGACUUGAAAACCUAAAUAUAUAGCUCCAAUUAGUGUAAACUGAUUGUAUAGUUUUUCAACAUUUCACAUCACAAUUGAAAUAAUUAAAAAUUGAUAAGAUUUUAAACAAAACCUGAUAAGCUUGUAAGACGUGAAUGGAAUAUUUUUAAAAUCGUACGUACUGAUUUAAUUGCAAUCAACGAUGAGACAAGUGAAGAGCUGCAUUUGUGGCGUGCGUUUUCUCCAUUUUCUCAAUCCUUCUUGCGUGAGAUUAAUUAUAUUAUCAUGUUUACUUUACGUGCAUGGCGCCUUUAAACUGGAUUUCUUUAUACAUACGUCUCUCGGAUGAAAACAAAAGUGUAGUCUAAUCGCAGCUAAGCUACACUUGAAUUUGUACCAAGUUAUUCCAAGAAUCUGAUAUGCUCGACUUGGGGGCCUUCAACUCACAACCCUCUUGUUUGUUUCUUCGACAUGAAUCACAUGAUAUCUACUUCCAAAUUUCUUCUAUUCACUUUCAAUAAUUAAACUUCAUAAUUGAGCUUUCAAACUUGCUGCAACCCUUUGUGCAGAAGGCUGCACUUUUACUUUAGAAGAAAAAAGCUGCCAAAGAUGAGCAACCUUUACUCAUUAAAAAAUUUGGAAAGUGUUAUAUGUUGUUCCAAUAGGGUCGGAAGCGUGUAAAUUAUUGUACUAAAAAAUCACACAAAGUUCAAUUCCCAGGGAAGAGAGGUGGAUCACAUGGAUCUCUUAAAUACCAAGUCUUUCCUUAGUCAGAAUAUCCCUUCUAUAGUAAUUUAAUAGCACAAUUAAAUACUACUAUUAUACCCUCAAAUAUUGAAAGAAAAAUAGGACAAAAAGAACAUAAGAGUUUUAACGAGGUUCGGUAAAUUAUACCUACGUCCUCGGGCACUAACACCAGAUGAUAACUUUACUAUCUCCAAAAUAUUACAAACAAAUAGAAUUCCUUAAGAAUUCUCAAAUGGGAGAAGAGAGAAAACUAAGAGAGAAAGAUUGGUUGGGAUGAAUUGAAAUGAGAAAUGAGAAGGCCUAUUUAUAGUUGAGGUUCAAGGACCAAACAAUAAAUAGCCCAUUAUCUCAAGGACCAAAAAAAAAAUUAUCCCUUGCCACUUUUCCAAAGUUGGUGGUUGUCAUUAUUGAUUGUCUCCCAUUAAUGUUAAUGGCAACCAUUAUUAAUUGUCUUCCAUUAAUGUUAAUAAUCUCCACCUUGAAGAUUUGAUUAGGAUAAUCACAUCUUCACACACUUCCUUCAACUCCCCAAAUUCGAUAAAGCUAUCUUUUGUAGUGCCUACAAAUGCGCUCUCGAGCGCCAUACACCUGAAGGUGCUCAAAUUCUCAGGAUGUUAAUCAAGUUCAAACAAUGAUUAAACUUGAUAGUUGUUACCACCUUGGUCAUCAUAUCUGCGGGAUUAUCUGUUGUCGGAAUCUUCUGAAGUAGAAUUUUUCCUUUUUCAAAGACUUCCCGCACAAAGUGAUAUCUUACUUCGAUAUGCUUGGUUCUUGAAUGAUAGACUUGAUUUUUCGCUAAAUGAAUAGCGCUCUGACUGUCACAAUAUAAACUUAUGUGACUUUGAACAACUCCUAAGUCUUUCAACAAUCCAUUAAGCCAAAUAGCCUCCUUAACAGCUUCUGUAACUGCCAUAUAUUCUGCCUCUGUAGUAGACACAGCUACUGUAGACUGUAAGGUAGACUUCCAACUCACUGGGGCUUUUGCAAGAGUAAACAGAUACCCCUUAGUUGAACGACGUUUAUCUAAAUCACCAGCAAAGUCGGAAUCAACAUAUCCAACUACAAACUGACCAAGUGCUUCAUCCUGUUCAAAAAUUAAACCAACAUCUACGGUUUUUCGAAGAUACCGUAGAAUCCAUUUCACAGCUUGCCAAUGUCCUUUUCCAGGAUCAUGCAUAUACCUGCUCACAACUCCAACAGCUUGUGAAAUGUUAGGCCUCGUACACACCAUCGCAUACAUCAAACUCCCAACUGCAUUAGCAUAUGGGACUUUCGCCAUAUAUUCUCUUUCUUCUUCAGUUUUCGGAGAUAAUUGAGCACUAAGUUUCAAAUGAGAAGCAAGUGGGGUACUUACAUGUUUUGUGUUUUCAUUUACACCAAAACAUUGUAAUACCUUUUUCAGAUAUUGCUUCUGAUUUAAACAGAGCUUGCCUCUCGGUCUAUCUCUACUUAUCUCCAUGCCGAGAAUCUUCUUGGCCUCACCUAGAUCUUUCAUCUCGAACUCUUGAUUCAACUGAGCCUUCAGCUUAUCUAUCUCAUUUUGGCUCUUUGAAGCGAUUAACAUAUCAUCAACAUACAAGAGUAGAUAAAUGAAAGAUCCGUCAUGCAGCUUCUGCAAAUAUACACAAUUGUCAUAUUUGCUUCUUGUGUACUUCUGCCUUCUCAUAAAGCUAUCAAAUCGCUUGUACCACUGCCUCGGGGAUUGCUUCAAUCCAUAUAGCGAUUUGUUAAGCUUACAAACCCAAUUUCUACCACCAGCAUCUGUGUAUCCUUCUGGCUGAGUCAUAUAGAUCUCCUCUUCUAACUCACCAUGCAAGAAAGCCGUCUUAACAUCAAGUUGAGCUAGCUCCAAAUUCAACUGUGCUACCAAGGCCAACAAAAUUCUAAUGGAGGAAUGCUUCACAACAGGAGAAAAUACAUCAUUUUAGUCAAUUCCCUCCUUCUGAGCGUAGCCUUUAGCUACCAAUCUUGCCUUGUAGCGAAUAUCCUUCUUGCUAGGAGAUCCAUCUUUCUUUGCGAAUACCCACUUGCAUCCGAUUGCCCUUUUACCUUUCGGUAAUUGCGCCAACUCCCAAGUAUUGUUCUUCCGGAGAGACUGCAUUUCUUCAUCCAUGGCGCUUUUCCAUUUAUCACUUUCUAAGCUUUGCAUUGCUUCUUGAUAAGUGAUAGGAAUAUCAUCAACAACGGGAAGGGCGUAGGCCACCAUAUCAGUAAAUCGAGCAGGUUUACGAAUUUCUCUCCGUGGCCUUACAACUGCAACUGGUUCUGGUGUACUUAGUGGUUCUUGGGUCAGAACCUCUUCAACCUCUAAUUCCUCCAUUGUGGCUGGAGAAUUAGACUUAUUAAUUGGGCAAAUCCCCAUCUGCUCAAACUCCACCUGUUUUGGAGUACACUCCACCUGCUGUGGAGUAUUGCUCGUCUGAAUAUCUUUAUCUGCUACCUUUUUCAAUGUGGCAGAUUCAUCAAAGGUAACAUCUCUGCUACAGAUCAUUUUCUUUGUGCUUAAGCACUAAAGACGAAAUCCCUUCACUCCAGAAGUGAUUCCCAUAAAGAGAGCUUUCUUUGCCCUCGGAUCUAACUUUGACUCCUUCACAUGGUAAUAUGCAGUGGUUCCAAACACAUGUAAGGAAUCAUAAUCUGUAGCCGGUUUUCCAGAUCAUACCUCCAUAGGAGUUUUUCUUUCUAAUGCAGAUGAUGGCAAACGAUUAACAAGAUGGCCAGCGUAUGUCACAGUCUUAGCCCAAAAUUGCUUGCCCAACCCAGCAUUGGACAACAUACAUCGAACUUUCUCCAGCAAUGUUCGAUUCAUACGCUCUGCCAAUCCAUUCUGCUGUGGUGUAUCCCUAACUGUGAAGUGUCGAACAAUACCAUACUCUUGGCACACAUCGAAGAACGGAUCACUUUUAUAUUCCCCUCCAUUGUCCGUCCUAAGCCGCUUGAUUUUCUUGCCAGUCUGGUUUUCGAUCAUAGUUUUCCAUUUAAGAAAAACUCUAAGCACUUCAUCCUUAGUUCUCAUGGUAUACACCCAAACUCUUCUGGAAAAGUCAUCAACAAAAGUAACAAAGUAGUGUUUUCCUCCCAAUGAAGGUGUCUUGGAAGGCCCCCACACAUCUGAGUGAACAUAUUCCAAAAUACCUUUUGUAUUAUGGAUAGCAGUACCGAAUUUCACUCUCUUUUGCUUUCCCAGAACACAAUGCUCGCAAAAUUUUAAUUUGCAAGCCUUUGCACCUUUCAACAAUCCUUGCUUUGCCAGAAUUUGCAAGGAUUAUUCGCUGGCAUGUCCCAACUUCAUAUGCCACAACUGUAUUGAGUCCAAUUCUUUGUUGCCGGAAGCUGCAGCGACUGCUCCAAUAACUGUACUACCUUGGUAGUACUACCUUGGUAGUAAUACAAGUUAUUUUUCCUGACGCCCUUCAAUAUCACAAGUGCGCCAGAUGUCACUUUCAAAACCCCAUCUCUCAUACUAACAACUGAACCAUUGGAUUCCAAGGCUCCCAAUGAGAUGAGAUUUUUCUUCAAACUGGGCACGUACCGAACAUCAGUCAGAACUCUGGUUGAUCCAUCUUUAUUCUUUAAUUUGGAUUGAACCUAUCCCAACAGUUUUACAGGCAUUGUCAUUGCCCAUAUAAACAACUCCUCCAUUUAGUUCUACUAAAUCAGAGAACCACUCCUGGUUAGGGGACAUAUGAUAGGUACAACCCGAAUCCAAUAUCCACUCAUCUGAAUGGAACGACGAUGAUGAUGCAACCAGUGAUAGUUCAGAGUCACUAGUAUCAUACUUAGCAACACAAGCAUCUACAGCAGCUUUUCCCUUAUUCUUCAGCUUUGGACAAUUUUUCUUCCAGUGGCCUUUCUUAUGACAAAAAGCACAUUCAUCUUUCCCGAGUCUGGACUUUGACUUUGAUCUCCCCUUUUGAGUUUUCUUCCGAGUGUAUGAACGACCUCGGACUACUAAAGCUUCUGUAUCUCUGAUUGAGUUUUUCUGUUUGUCCUUCUUUCUCUGUUCAUAACUGUAUAAGGCCGCACAGACUUCGCUCAGAGAUAUAUCACUCCUGCCAUGAAGUAGAGUAGUUUCUAGGAACUCAAACUCCUCAGGAAGUGACCCCAACAGCAUCAAAGCCAAAUCUUCAUCUUUGAAUGUCUCAUCCAUAUUCAGCAAAUCAGUGACUAACUGAUUAAAUUUGGUGAUGUGAUCAUUCAUUGUGGUACUUGGGACGUAUGUGAAGCGAAACAGUCUUUUCUUCAAGUGGAGCUUAUUUUGACUGUUUUUCUUCAAAAAAUUUUCUUCAAGUACCACCCACAACUUAUUUGCAGAAGUCUCCUUUGAAAAAGCAUACCUCUGCUCUCGAGAAAGGCAUGAUCGAAUUGUGCCACAUGCCAACCGAUUGAUCGCCUUCCAAUCUUUCUCCUGUACAUCAUCUGGUUUCUCUUCAUCAAUGGCAAUGUCUAGACCCUGCUGAAAAAGGGCAUCUAGAACCUCACUUUGCCACAUACCAAAAUGGCCCGUGCCAUCAAAGAUCUCCACGGCCAAUCUUGCAUUUGCAAUUGUCGGUCUUGUCCACAUGGACGAUGUUGAAGCUCCUACACCGACCGUUUUCUCCAUAAUCUUUCAAUAUACCUAAGGAAAUCUUUUCUGAUGUGGAAGAUCAGUUUAAACUGCAACCACAGAGCAUACUACGAUUAACCUUCGGCUCUGAUGCCACUUGUUGUUCCAAUAGGGUCGGAAGCGUGUAAAUUAUUGUACUAAAAAAUCACACAAAGUUCAAUUCCCAGGGAAGAGAGGUGGAUCACAUGGAUCUCUUAAAUACCAGGUCUUUCCUUAGUCAGAAUAUCCCUUCUAUAGUAAUUUAAUAGCACAAUUAAAUACUACUAUUAUACCCUCAAAUAUUGAAAGAAAAAUAGGACAAAAAGAACAUAAGAGUUUUAACGAGGUUCGGUAAAUUAUACCUACGUCCUCGGGCACUAACACCAGAUGAUAACUUUACUAUCUCCAAAAUAUUACAAACAAAUAGAAUUCCUUAAGAAUUCUCAAAUGGGAGAAGAGAGAAAACUAAGAGAGAAAGAUUGGUUGGGAUGAAUUGAAAUGAGAAAUGAGAAGGCCUAUUUAUAGUUGAGGUUAAAGGACCAAACAAUAAAUAGCCCAUUAUCUCAAGGACCAAAAAAAAUAUCCCUUGCCACUUUUCCAAAGUUGGUGGUUGUCAUUAUUGAUUGUCUCCCAUUAAUGUUAAUGGCAACCAUUAUUAAUUGUCUUCCAUUAAUGUUAACAUUAUACACACACAAUUACAUACAUAUGUGGUCUUACUACUUUUUCAUAUAGCAUAAAUAUUGAAUUUGCAUGAGAGAAAUCAAAACUUAUCCAAAGUUAAAGUCGCUUUGUCAUACUGCUUUUCCUUUCUGCUGCAAUUUUGACUAUAUAUAUAUAUAUAUGUGAGCCUGGAGAUGCUGCACUUGACCCACGCACCCAGAAAUUAAAGGAAAGAAACGAACAAAAACACCUUUGGGAGAUUAGAAAAGAAAUGAUUAUUUGACUGCCAUCCUCCAGGUUUGAAGGCAUUAUUAUAAUUAAUCGCAAUAUUGGGAUUUGGAAGCAUAAUAAUGUAAUUAAAGGGUUGAGAUGAUGGCACAUCAGUUUAAAACAAAAAAUCUUAAAAGAUAAGAGGAAUAGAAUCAUGCCUACCUAGCUACCCUGUAUUUAUUCUACAAAUUACAACUGUUUGGAGUAGCCGAAAGGAGUGUCCUAAUCUACCAUAGCCAUCCACAAACAUGCAUUCACUACAUUAUAUUGCUCAAUGUACGUCCCAGAUUCUAUACCAUCUUCGAAGUUAUUAUACUUAGCUUACCUUGAGAGUUACAAUAAUAUAUUCCCUAAAUAUAGACUUAUGAUAUACAUGUGGGUUUGAUAUAAUAUUUCUUCCUACUUAAUGUGGCAUCACGAGGACCUUGUACUGUAAGUUAAAUUGUAUUUUCCCCCUCUAUUUAAAAAAUAAGUAAAAUAGUCCUAAUAUGUUAGAUCAGAGAGUAAAUUUGACAUUGUUUUAAAAUUUUCAUCCAUUUUUGCUAAAAAUUAAUCCUUAUACGUCAGCAUGAUGUACACGUGACAUGCCACAUGUCUGUAUCUUAUUAUUCCAUCAGUCACAUUAGUUUUUAACAAUACAAAUGAAAAAAAUGUUUAAUUAAAAAGACUAAUUUAUUCUUUAAUAUAAUAUGAAGAGGUUAAUGUAACCUUGUUUAAGUAGGAUACUUUUACCACCGCGGAACAUGCUAUUCUAUAUCGUACCUGUAUGCAGGCAUAGCUAAGUGGAUUUUUGCUCCUCUGCUAGCAUAAACCCAAAAUGAUGUUUUAGCUUAAAAAUAUAAGAAAGCCAAUGUUUGAAAUCAAGUUUGUUCACUAAUUCCACCACAGCUUCUUUUAAGUUGAUCAGAAGGCUGAGCUUGGAACCUGCAGUGGGUGAUGGUCCCAACUCUCAGGCCUCAGCUCAAUUGGGUUUAAAAUGGGGAGAGAAGAUAUAAUCUAUAUGUUUGGUAGGGUUUACUCAUCUGACAGACCUUGACGUCACCCAUUACUAACUUCAUGCGAGGUGACCCUACAGUGUAAAAUAGUUAAGGUAAUCAAAUAAAAAACAUUUUUUUUACUAUAAGAUUUUGGAAAAGCAAAAGCAUAUGGCACCUGAAAAAGGAAGAAAAAAAAAAAGAAGAAGAAACGUGACGAGACAAUUAAUAGAAUUGGAAAAAGGAUGAAAGGAGUGAAGUCAUUUCACCAACUAAAACAAUAAACUUAAUUUUUCUUGAAUUUUAAGAUAUUCUUUUAUACAAAUGAGAUUGUAAUUUAAAAUUCGAUACUCAAAGAACAAUGACUUUAUACUGAUGACCAUAAAUUAAGUGGGAAAGGAAUAUAAGAACACAUUGUUAUUAUGUGCUUUACAAAGUGAUUCCUUAAUUCUACAUAGAUUGGAAGAAUAGGAAUUGGAUUUUCUAUUCAUUGGUUGGAAGCAAAAGGAGAAAAAAAAAGGCAUCAAAUUGCUAAAGUGGUGAUUAGUGAAGAAAAAAAAAAAGCUUGCUGAAUAUUUUUCUUUUUCUUUUUUAGCUGCCAUAACUCUGAUUUAUAGAGUUAAAUCCAUCAUACGUUUCUGUAUAUAUGUAGACAUUUAUGUAUAUAUUUUUUAUUAAAUCUCUCCUUUUAAAAAAAUGUACUUUUAAAAUUAUUUCAUACCCAUGAUAAAAGAGAAAAUGUUACUAAAAUUCCCAAUAAUUCAUACUCAUAGCUAAACUACAAAGAGGCAAAAAGAAAAUUAAAACAUCAAGACAAAACAAAUGGUAGAAAGAGGGGUUGAGAGCUUACCUCAAUUAGUUGACAUAUUUGGUGAGAAUAGUAUGCUCUUGGAUUUGCUGCAAACAAGCAAUAUUGCUCACCUAACACAAGAAAAAAAGAUGCAUUAAUAAAUAGAGGCUGUCUUAUCUUUAAAAGAUGUUGAAAUUAUUCAUGAUUUAUUGGCACUUAAACAGCAACUAAUAUAAAGGCCUUUCAAGGUCCAUCCAUUGACUUUUGCCCUCCUUGCAUGCACAUGAUAUUUUUAUUUAAUUACAUUCUAAUAAUUAAAUUUAAAUGUAUUUAUUUAAAUUUUUAUUGAAUUAAAUGUUAUUGGAUCAUUUUAAUUACAAUUACAUUCAAUAUUUUUUUCAUAAUAUAACUCUAUGAUUUUUCAAUCACGUCAACACAUUGUUUAACUUAAUUUGAUCAUUGGGGAGACUUAAUAAUUGCUUCCUUAUGCUAUUGGCAAAUCUAUUUAAUUAAAUAUUUAAUAAGUUAAAAUAUAUUUAAAAUUAUCUUUAGUCUAUAAAAUUUUCAUGUUAUUUAAAUUGGAUUAAUAAAAUAUUUUAUAAUUAUUGCCAAUAACAUAAAGAAGCAAUCAUUAAAUUCUUUAUUUAGCAUUCAAUAAUUAAAAUUUAAACUUUAUUCAUGUAAUCUCUUCCCUAAUUUGUAAAGUACAUUUUUUUCCACAUAGUUACUAAUUUAAGAUUACUAACCACAAUAGUAGAAGCACCUGCAACAAUCAAACCAGAAAAAUACAACUAUUACCAUCUUAAUUUAACCAAUUUGGAUUUAAAUGAAAAAUUUUUAAAAUAUUUCUUUUCUCUUUCCAAAAUUCAGGUUAAGGGUUCCUUUGAAUGGGUGAUACAUUUACUUGCUAUUAAUAUAAAAAUAAUAAUGAUGAUGAGAUUAAAUAUUAUAAUAUCAAAAAAAAAAAAAACUAAACACCACCACUACAAUAUUUGAUUAAUUGCUUAUUUAUUUCAGAAGGAAAUUAUGAUCAACUUAGACAUAUGAAGUGAUUCAUGGUGAUGUACUUUGCAUAGCUUUCUUUAGUCUAACUAAAGCAAUAACAUAAUAUUGGGUUUUUUUUCUUGAAAAAAAAAUUGAAAAGAAGAAACUUUAAUUUUAGAUUAAUUUGACAAGGCAGCAGGUAGCAAGUUUAUUUCAAUAAGGUCUAAUCAGUUAUCAUGCUUCCUCAUAAUUAUGGCUAUGUAGCCAACUUUAGUCUUUUCUGUCAUGGACCUUGGCCCCCCUUCUUUAUUUCCUUGCAUAUAUUUUUUAUUUGGUUAUAAAUUAAAUUUAUUACAUAUUACAAUAUAUUAUUUGAAUAUAACAUACCCACUUCAUAAUAACAGCUCAAGCAACUUAUUUAUUUCUCUGACAUAAAUUAUAUAUUCUUAUAAUUUAUUUAAAUAAAGUUUUUGAUUGAAAUAGUAGAGUUAAUAGUUUAAAAAUUAUAAUGUUCUAAUGUUAUUAUAAUAAUAUCACAUAUUUUGUAAAAAUUAUAAUUUUUUUAAUAAUUUCUUAAUUGAAUUAGUGUUAAAUUGACUUAUGACGCCUAAUUCAGUCAGGGGUAUUACUAUAAUAUUGAUACAAUAAAAAUUGUUCUUCUUGAUUUGUUGGUUAGAAAUAUUAUGAGUUGCAACUAAAAAUACAAUUGAAGCUGAAAAAGUAAAACAAUGAACGCAUGAAUUGGUUAUGUAGUUUGAAACUCUUUUCUAUAUUUGUAGGACCUUAUCCAGAGAUUAAUCUUUUAUAAUUCAAUAGUUCCAUUCACUCACUAUGUUAUAGCCUCAAUCUUAUAUAAUUAUCUAAAUUUAUUCUUCUACUAAGUCUUUUCUCCUCAAAAGCUUAAUCACAAACUCGUAAUCUAAUCAAAAUGGUUUAUUUGCAUCACAAUAUGCACUCUACAAAUUGCCCUAAUGAAUAAAAGAAUACUCCUUAACUCGUACAUAAAAUAAUAUCCAAGUCUUCAAUAUAAGAGCAUUAUUAGACUUGUAUAUUUGAGCUAGUACCAUUGCAUAGAACACUAAAAUUGUGCCUCAAUUAGACUCCUUAUUAUGAUAUGAGAUAAAAGAGAGAUUAUUUAGUUUAACUUCUUUGAUCUUUUGUAUUUCUUUAAAUAAAAUAAAUGAUACUAAAACUCUUUAAAAAUAUCAUUGUUUAAUUAAAUAUCUGAAAAUGAUGAAGAUUAUUGUUCAAUAUCCUUAAAAAGAUAAAUAAUAAUAAUGUAAUCCAGUCAAAACAUGUUAAUAAAAUACACAAAUCACAAAAACUAUUUAUUUAUUUAUGGAGAUAAUAUUUUAAUUCGAAUGUUAUAAUUAUUAUUCGCAAGAGAUGUAUGGAUAGUAUAAAAACAAUACAUCAGUUUUAGCUUUUCUUUAGCCGACGAAUUGCACAGUAGUAUCCCCUACUAAGAACCAAACAAGAUAAUGAAUGAGGCAUUUAUUGGAACGAGGCAGGAGGCAGCAAAAACGCAUCUACCUAACAAUUCGUAAAUUUAUUUUUAACCAAUUACAUUUUAUUUUUUUAUUUAAAAAAUAUGUAAAUUAAUUCCAAUACAUUAUAUUAAAGAGUAAACUGAUCUUUUGUUAAAAAAAUUAUUCAUUUAUUUUGUGAAAAAUUAAUACAUAUAUUUCAGCAUCAGGUAUACGUGGCACGUCACAUAUUAUUAUCAAGUUAUUUCAUUAAUCACGUCACUUUUUAACAAUAAAAAUAGAUCAAAAUUUUAAUUUAAUUUAUAAUAACUGAUUUAUUUAUUUAUUAUAUAAAAAAAUAAAAUACAAUCUACAAAAAUCGCAUUCUCACUUUUACCCUAACAAUUUACCUCGUAGAAUAUUAUAUUAUGAAUAUAUAUGUGUUGGGCAAUGGGCAUGUUACCGAGGCAGUAAGGGCCCAUGCAUCACCCAUCAUGGGAGACACUGACUUUGCCUUUGCAAAGCUCACACAAUUGCACCUCAUCAAACUAAAGAAAGAGAAUGCGAUGCUUUGCUUACUCCCUCUCCUAUUUUUCAAAUUUAGACCCACACUCCUCCUUUCAAGGCGUUUUGCCUGCAUCAUUCUCGCGUCUUAUUCUUAUUUUCUUUAGGUUUUUUUUUUUAAUGAGCUCCAUUGGAUCAUAGCGGUUAGAUUUUAACCAAGUCAGUUUAUUUUCUUUGAAAGUAGAAUCUGAUUACUAAUAUUAUAUUCUGAAUCUUCAUUUUGAUAAUUUCUUAUAUUAAGCAUCUUUUGCUAAUUGUUAUUAUUGUAAUGAUAAGUUUGGAUCAUAACUAUUCUAUUUGAUAUAAUAUUAGCGCACUCGGACCACGUACUCUUGUAUAAACAACAAUGUCAAAAUUAAUCGAAUUAAGACUAAAUUAACCUAUUGCAACGAGUUUAAAUAUGUUAAUAGAAACCUUUACUUAACAACAUUAUUUAAAUUUUAUAAUAAUUAUUAUAUAUAUACAUAAAUAUCAACUAAUAGAAACGUUUUAAAAUUGUUCCAAAAGAAAUAAAUGUUUUAAAAUAAUAAAAUUUUCAAAUUUCAUGAAUUCAUUCAACCAUACAUUUCCAUCCAUAAAUGCUUUUAAUUCGUAAUCCAUUUUAUAAUGAUAAAACUUUCGUAAGUUACUUGAAUUGCAAACAUGUAUUAAUAUAAAUUAUAUAUAUAUUUAAUAAAUAUAAUAUAAAAAUAAUUAAUUUAAAUUUAAAUUUGAAAAUUAAAAAAAUGUAUAAAACUUAGUAAGUUGAAAAAUUAAAUGUUGAAAGUUAAGCAUUGAAAAACUUAAAGUUAUAAAAUUCGUUUGAUAUAUUACUUAAAUUUAAUUGUAAAAUUAAUUAUAUUUUUGAUAAAUCUAAAAUUUAAAUUAUGAAAUUUUUUUUAUAGGUUUAUCAUUAUUUCAAACAAAGCCAAAAUUUAAAUCUAUAAUUUUAGAGGAUAGUCUGAUAUUAAAAUAAAAUAAAAUUUAAAGGAUAAUAUAAUAUUAAAAUAAAAAAAAUUCUAAAACUUAUAAUUUUUCAUAAUUUUUAUAAAAAAAUUUACGGUUUUUUAUUAUGAAUUAUGAAACAAACUAAAAAAAACUAAAUUUCAGCUAAUUUAAUUUUUUUCAAUAAGUUAUGAAAUAAUAUUUUAAUAAAAAUUAAGAGCUCCUUAAAAUAAAUAAAAGAAUAUUUCCUUUUGCUGAAUAAUUUAAAAAAUAUUAAAUUAAUGCUAAACUGAUAUAUUAAUACGGAGUUUUUGUAUAAUAAUUUUAUAUUGUACGUAAAUAAAAUAAUGUAUCAACUUUUGGACAGUACCUUUUGGGUUAGUAUUUAAUUUCUUCAAACUAAUACCAGUCUCAUGGACAUAUAAGCGUGUUCACGCGCCGAAAGGAAGAGGCGUAAACCCCACAUCUUUGCAGAAAAAAGCAAAGCAAAGCUCAUUGGUCUAUUUUCCCCCACUUUAGGGUUCAUCCAUGUCAAAGGAACAUUUAUUGGGGAACCGACCAAGCAAAGAAAAGCCACCGCCAUCGCCACCACAACCGCUUUCUGAUUUUCACACACCUUAUUUACCUUCAAUAAAAAUUAUUCCUCUAAUUUAUAUGAGAUUUGCAAUAUGAAAUUACCGUUAAUUUGACAUCAACGCUCUUUUUUUUUCUUUUUUUUUUAUUUCUAGUUGCCCACUUAAUUUUAUUUAAAACUUAUAUUAAAUAAUUAUUGAAAACAUCUAUUUACUUAUGUUAGUGGUAUCAGCGGUAAAGUUAAAAUAAAAUUUAUAGGUAGAAAUUAAAUUGUAAUAUUUAUAAUAAUAAAAAUAUAAUUUUAUUAUUUUAAUAGUUUAUAUUUUUAUAAUUUUUAAUGAAUUAAAUCAAAUUUUUAUCAUUUUUUAAGAAAAUUAAAAUACAAUUUUACUUUUAUUAAUUUAAAAUUUUAAAAUAUUUAAAUAAAAAUGGAUCGACCCCUGCCCUACACUCCUGAGUGAUAAGAGGAGCUUCUUUAAAAUUUUAAGAUUUUUAGAAAUUUUAUUAAACUUUCUAAAAGUUUUGAAAAUUUCAAUUAAAUCCUUCAAAACUUUUGGAAAUUCUUAUUAAUUCUCUCAAAAGUUUUAAAAAUUUCAAGUAAACCAUCUAAAAUUGUUGAAAAUUUUAAUUAAACUUCUCUUUUUUUUAUUGUAAUUAAGCUCUCAAAACUUAAUUUCAUGUUAUGUUUUUUAAUGCAAAAUUAGAAAGUUGAAAGAGUAAAUUUAAAUCUCAUAUUAUUUUAAGAAAGUUAAUAAUAAAUUAAAAUAAUCAAAACAAUUUUUUAGUCCUUUUCUAUUUAAAAAAUUUUAUAUAUUUUUUAGAUUUUAAAUAUAAUUUAAUGAAAAUUUAUCAUCAUCUAACUCGUGUUUAUGAAUUUAUUUUUCAUGGACUAAACAAAACGUUUAAUUUUAUAUAAAACUGAUUGUAUUGAUUUAUUUGUUUUCUUUUUCAAACAAGUAAUUUAGCUUCAUUUUUCUCUUUAUUAGUAAUUUUGGCUUUUAGUAUGCUUACUAAUCUUAUACUUUUUCAAAUUAUAUAUAUAUAUACAGACAUGGAAAGAUUUGUAUUUUAUCAAGAAAUCAGAAACAAAUAGAAUUGGAUUUUUGAGAUUUUUUUUUAUAAAUAAAAUAUUUUUUAUGGUUCGUAAAAUUUAAUUAUUUUGAGAUUCAUAUUUGUCUUUUUAAAUAAUAUUGUCUUAUUUUUAUUAAAAUAAUAAUAGAAUUUAUUUAAUUUUAAAUUUUCCAAGUUGUGAAAUUAAUUCUCUCAUAUUUUAGGGGGUAAGUUUGCAUGCAUGUAGGAUUGAAUAGAUCAAGUAACAAUAAUUUUUUCUUUCAAUGCAAUGAUUUUGGGAUUUGGUAGUACGUAAUCAUUAGUUAAUGCAUGUCUCAUUAAAAGCAAAAAUUUCUAAACCAAGCUUUAAGCUUAAGGUUAUUGUGAUCGUACUAAAAUAACUAUCCAUGUACUAUUCUAAUUAAUUUAGACUUAAAAUAUCAUUUGAAUCAACAGUAUAUUUAUAUGCAAUUAGUAUAAAAGUAAUAGUGACAAUGAAUUUAAAUAUUGUAAUAAUAUUGUAGUAUAAAAUAAAAACAAAAGAAAAUUAAACACACUACACUAAAAAUAAGAGCAAUUUUGGACUCCAUUUCUAAUAUUAUAAUUGAUAAAAAUAAAUGAGAAAGGGCUAUUUGGUUAAUUCAUCCAACCAAAACCCAACACUCCUUUCAUAUGAACUUACAUGGUAAGUAGGUUCCCCCUCCCUUCUUUAAAUUGGUUCCUCAACAAAUGUGUAUCGAAUUUCAAAACUUACUUUCCAUUCACCUUUGCUGAACCUUUUUUUUUUUCUCUCUUAUUCUCACCUUCCCCUCUGCUCCUCCUAAUCUAAAGCCUUGGUGCUGGUUCAUGGAUAUUGAACCCUUGUGGGCUCUUGGGGGGUGGUUUUUUCUUUAUUUCUUUGAUUGUAUGGCAGCACCUAAAUCAACAUCAUCGCUCUCACACGCCUAUGAAAAACCCCAUUUUUUCCUACUCUUCCUCACCCUUGUCUUCUUGGUUUUCCUUCUACUCCUUAACCCCUCUUCAAACCCUAUCAACUCAUCCAAUGUCACCCCUUCCAUCCCUUUCAAGAGGCUCCUCUUACGUAAUUCAUGGAAAUCAUCAUCAUCAACCAUGAACUUGCCCCCCAAGCAAAGGCGUCAUCCCCGCACCUCCGCGUCUUCGUUCGGAGCCGAAGCUCAUGAAGUUCCUAGCGGUCCAAACCCUAUUUCCAACAGGUAGGUAAGUGUGAUUUUGUGGAGACAUAUGGGGUGAAGAUGAUAAAGAAAGAGUCGUGACAGCGAAACUUUAUUGUUAAUGUGUUUUGUCAUAUCUUUUCUAUGAGUACUGUUUAGUUCCACCAUUAAUACCGCUUGUCCUCUCUGUGAGGAGUUUGUCAUCGUCAUCAUCUCUAGCAUUACUUUUUUUUUUUUUUUGAACUAGAAAUGUAUAGGAAGAGAGAUACUCUAUAUUUUUCUACAUCUAUGUAUGUAUGCUAUUUGUUUUAUAUAUAGAUGAUUAUGGGUAUGGUUUAUAUAAAGUUACUUUGAUUUCUUGUAUUCACUGUUAUACCAUAUGGAUUCUUGGUGGGAUAUAUAUGAAUAAUCUUGUUUUUAAUUAAUUCAGUAGAGAUUCAAAUCUGCAUGACUCCUAGUGAGUUGGUUUCUAAUUUGGUGAAAAACCAUGCCCCCUCCUGGUAAAAAGUUAAAGAAUCAUGGGCGAUAAGCAUGGUUUUUGUGAGAGUGUAGUGCAUGGCCUUUCCUUUCCUUGGGGGAGGAAAGGAAGGCAGAUAAGAAGGGAAUCUGGGUGGCUGCUAGGCCAAAAUGGGAGCAGCAGAGAAGAAGAGAUGACCACAACAUCUUUUGUUUUGUUUUGUCUGAAAAGAAAUUUUAUCGGGUCAGUAAAUUGGGACAUAGCUUUUGUCUUCCUGCUUUGCACAUAAAUCGAGAAAGUCGAGAUGCCAAAGUCAUGAUUUGAUAAUUAUUACUGUAUCAUUUUUCUGGCCUCUGUUGUUGAAUAAAAUGUUACCCAAUCUUAUGCUUUUUCUGAUGCAACUAAUUAUUAUGCUUUUUUUUUUUCUUUUUUUGGCUCUAAAACAUCUUCAUUUCAACCAUUUUCUGGGGUUGCUUUGAAGCGUUUUAAUUCAGAGACUGGUCAACUUAUAGUGAAAAGUGAAAACUGAAAGGUUAGUACUUGUAAUUAUGGCUGUCAAAUUCAAAGAAAUUUGUUUUACUCACUUUGUCUUGCUCUAUUUUAACCAUAAUUUUAAUAUUUAAAUUGCACACAAAUUUUUUAUAAUAUAUAUUAUAUAUAUUAUUCCAAAUUUAUAUAUUAGAUAUUUAUAACUUUUGUAGUUGCAAAUGACUUCUUCUUUCAUUUCUUUAAGGCAUCGCGUAUGUAAUUACAUUGUCUUUUACUAAAUAAUUUUUUUUUUUUUUGUAUUUAUAGAAUGAAAGAAAACAUUUAAGUGAACCCAUUUUACGCUCUUCACAAUAAAAAAGAGCAUUUAAGUGCAAUGAAAAAAGAAUUAAUAAAUUGCUUUAGUUUCUUAAUUGAAGGAUGAAUGGGAGUUUAGCCGAUAAACACUCGCAAGACCUUGUAAAUUGAUUAUUAAUAUAUAUUUUUAUAUUAAUAGGAUAAGAUUUACAGAUUUAAGCAAAAUGGCAACAACUUAAUUAAAAUUUGAAUAAAUCGGGAUGGUUAAGAAAACAUUAAUAAAUAAAUGAAAUGAGUAAUUAAUAGAUGGAAAUGGAAACGUUUCGAAUAAUGGAGCUUCGUAGACUUUAUUCAGCAUCAGAUGAUAUUCUGCUAAAAAUAUUUUUAAAAAUAUCUAAUUUAUUUUGCUCUCUAACUUAACAAAAAAAGAAUCAUUUUAAUCAUCCAUCUAAUUUUUCACCUCUUUUAGCAUUAAAAUUUGUUCUAUUUAUCAAAUAACUCCAAAAUGGGUGAAAAUGUUAAUAUAUAUUGACUUUGUUGAUGUGACAUAGUCACAUAUUAUCAUGUGGAUGCCACAAUAACAAUUAAUUAUUUUUUUAAUAUAAAAAAUUCAAAGAAGUAUAAAAAGUACAAAAAAAUUUAAUUUUAAAAAAAUAAUUACUUGCUAAUGUGACAUAUGCAUAGAGUAAUGUCACAGGCAGCGCAAAUGAGCCUGCAACUAAUGUGGACAUUUUAGACUUUUCAUGUUCACUUGGGGUCAUUCGACCUGACAAGACUGCCUAUUGCUUAGAUGAGACUCAAGGCUCAUUUACUUGGAUCCUGGUUAAAAUGUAAGCACUCCAGUAACUUGUACUUUUAUCAGGAUAAUUAUUGUAAAUCCUAAAUGAUAAGAACGUAUAGAGUUUAAAUCCCUUAAAACUCUCAUAUAAUAAUAGAUAGACACUAAUCUCAAUCACUGAUGUAACUCAAUCGUACCGUUGGAUUUGCGAGAGCUCAACUAUAAAUAAAGCCCUUCCCUUUCAUUUGUAAUCACUCCAUUCUUAAGUAAUAGAAUAUUUUUAAGAUCAUUUACUCAAACACUUGGUGUGUUAUUGUUUUCUUGUAGUUUUUCUGUUCGGUUCGAGUUCAUAUUUGUCUUUGAGUUACUUUUGCUUUAUUUCGGCGUCUUAGAGAAUUUUCAUUGUGAAUUCUCAUUAUCAAGAGUUAGGCUAACUUAGGCAGAUUUGAAGUAAAGAAAUCGCCUAAAACCGCGCAGUUUGCCAAACAAAAGCUUCAGCUCUGUUACAGUUGGUACCCAAGCCAAGGUUCAAAGGCACCAGUUGAUAUGGAAAAAGGAAUAAAUGAGCAGAUUGGGUCUAAGGAGACCCAUAGGAAGGGAAGGAAAACUAGUAGAUCGAAGGAUACUUUGCCAGGUUUAGAAGGUCGGGUGACCACUUUGGAAAAAUUUAUGAGUGGUGUAAAUGAAAGAGCAGUUUAGGGAAUAUGUGGCACAGACUCUUAGUUCCAAUUUGGAUGCGAUGAAAGGGGCCCUCAAUAUUGCUAUGGAUAAUCAGAUAGAGAAGUUAACUAAGAGGAAUAAUGCUUUUAAAGCUAUGAUCUUAGCUUUGAAGGAGCAAACUGAAGUCAUGAUAUCGAGAAUUGAGGAGCUCGAGGGGUGCUCAUUGUGUACAGAUGUGAGUAAAUAGAUGCUAGUUUUGGUCACUAAGUAGUGUAAAAUGGAUAUCCCCAAGCUGAAAAAGUUUAAAAGGAUGAGGUUUGUGAGGGAUGUAGAAAAUUUUCUCUAGGGGAUGAGAUUGGUGAAUUAUCUGUUAAAUGUUGGGGUGGUGUAUUGCGUGGAUUCGACAAUGCACCCAUUUCCGGAACGUCUCGCUGGAAUUCACCAUUUGACAAAUUAUUUUGGGAGAUAAUCCGUCAACCCUAAAUAUUUUGGGGUGAACUAGUUAGUUUGUGGAUUGAUAAUUUUUUUUUGUGUGUUUUAGCAUGAAAAUGAUAACUUGGCGAGUAUCAUUAGAGUUUGGUUGAGACCUAGUUGGGAUUGAACUAGAGUAUUAUAGAAUACAACUUGAUGUGUUUAGGUAGCUGAAUUUUUUGUUUAGUUGACUUAUUUUAGUAUGCAAGUAACGUUUUACUACUCAUUAAGCUAAUUAGUGGUAGUAGUUAUGUUUGGUAGAUGAUUAGGUUAAAAAAUUUUAAGUAAUUAUAUUAUCAAGUUUCAAGGGCUAUAGUGAGAUUUUCUAACCCUCCCACUAAGCUUUUUCCUUGUUGCUUGCGCUAUAUAAAGAUGUCGAUAGCCGACAUGUUUCACAUUUGCUUUUCUCUGUGUUCUUUUUUGAGUCUCUGGAAAUUUUUAAGGUAUCUUCAUUUGAGAAGAAGAAGGAGGUUUCAGUAGCUAGUCAAAACACCACUAUUAAGUACCAGCUUACUGGUAAUUUCUGGAAAGCUCUUAGGUUAUUGAUAAGUUAUAAAAGUAACGUAUUUUAAUCUUAUUCUUAAUUUGGUUUUGGAUGAUUAUUUAUGCAAAUUGGCAAAUUCGAUGCUCAUAAUCCUUUAAAUUUAUAUUUCUAUAAUUAGGAUAACAUUUGGGAGUGAAAGGUGCUAAAAUGAGUCAAAAUCGGACAAAUAGAGCUGUUUUUAAUAGCCACAUGUCCUGGACCUUUUUCACACAGGCUGGGCACAUGGCCAUGUGUCAAGCCAUGUCAAUUUCGCAACUCGCAUCCCAAAUGCACUGAAAAAUACAUUUUUUAAGCUUUCUAGGCAUUCUAAAGUAUAUAAAUACUAAUUAGAAGAAGAAAAAAGGGAGCCAUCAGAGAAUAUCAAAGAAAACACUUAAAGAACAUCAUUAGAAGCCAACUGUGAAGUGAAUCUCCAUCAAGAUAGAAGAUCUCUUUUUAAUUUCUCUUGAAGUUUUUAUGAGUUUCUUCGUUCCUUGUGUUUUUUCUGACUUUGAGAUAUUUUUAUACACAAUUAUGAACUAAUUCCCUAAAUACCUAGGAAGGAGGAAACCUAUGAUGAAUUCUAUUAUUUAAUUUCUGUUUUAUACGAUAAAUACUUUAUUCUUAUUCUCAAGUAUGUGUGCUUAUUUCUUAUUUUAAUAUUUUCGAGAUAUUAAUUCAUGUUUAAUGUGCUUAAUCAAAGGAGCAAAAGUCUUUGUUCAAGAGUAGAUCUAGCAUAAUUAGGUGGAGUUGCAUGCAAUCCUAGAAAUAGGACAACAUAAAUCUACAGGAUUAGAGUCAAAUCUAAUAGCGAAAUUCAUAGAUCGAAUUAAUACAAUAAUAGGGGUUUUAAUUAGAAAGAUAUUUCAAUUAAUCAACCUAGGGUUAGUAGCUCUUACUCUCGAAAGAAAUAUUGGCAAAAUUUAGGGAUUUCUAUGGAUCAAGACACCAAGUGAAUAAAUCGUUUAAAUCAUAUUCAUAAUAAUAAAUAAAGUCUAGGUGGAUUCUUUCCUGGGUAUUGUCUCUCUCAUUGGUUAUCGUUCGAUUAUUUCCUUGAUUCCUUUUCUGUUGAGUUCUUAGUUAAAUUAGUUUAGUAAUUUUAGCUUAAAACUCAUCACUCCAAUUUGUCAGCUAAAUAAUAAAAAAACAAUAAAUACUAAUACUUUUAGUCCUCGUGUAUACAAUAUCUUUACUCAUCAUAGCUAUACUAUUGUUCGAUAGGUGUGAUUGUCUUAGUUGUAAUUUUUAGUUAGUUCAGUGACAUAUCAAUUAUUGUUGAAGGGAUUUACGUUUUUGCAUUAGUGCAUGCAUGAUUAAAUUAGAUAAAUGGUUUGAUGGUUAUAAUUGUUUCUUAUUUAGCUCAAGAAGCUAGUGAAGGUCUGAGCAAUUGAGGCAAAGGGCCAGUAGAGUAGAUUUUUUAAAAAACUUGCUGGUGAGUUCCUUCUUACUUCCUUUGAGUUAUGAUGCUUCCGUAAUAUGUGGCUUGUGUAUGGUAAGUUGUCUUUACUAUAAAUAAGUCAACGUGUUGUGUCUAGAUGCGUGUGUAAUAAACUAGUAUUAUAUGUGUGAGUAUGACCAUUGUUGAUAUAAAAACACUCUCCUUGUUGCACGAACCUAGUACCAAACAAAUUGUGAUAUGUGAAAAUACGGGAAGGAAAUUUGUUUGUAAUGCCUCUGGUAGGGCAGUUAUAUUGCAAACCGGAUUGACAGAUCACGGCCCGACCUUAUAGGAGAACACUUGUUCAACUUAACAGGAAUGAUAUGAAUAUGAAUAUGAAUAUGACUAAUUUGUGAUUCUAAAUCCUAAAUUAUGGGUUCAAGGUUAGCACAAGAAAGGGUCAUUUGUAAACAUGCAUGAUUAUGAAAGGUACGCAUGAGCCGGCAGACAAUAAAAGCCCGUGUAUUGUGUGUGUUAUAUUUAAAUUGGCAAACUGUUUUCGCUAGUGAACUAGAUAAUAUUAUUGAUGUAUUGUGUUUGUACGACAAAAUCUCUUGAAUAAGCCUAUUUUUCUUAUGGGUAUCAAUGCUUAUUUAAUAGUGAUAUUUCUGUAAAUUAUUGCAUCCAUUUUUGGAACUCACUAAGUUCAAUUGAACUUACUCCAUUACUUAUCCUUCCUCAGGUGUAUUUCUAAUAGAAGAAGAAUCAGUUGAAUGGGGACUACGCUAGAGCUGUAGUUACGAGUAAGCCACUUGUUUAUUUUGUAUCAUGCAUGGCUAUUUGGUGAAUGAAGUAUACAUACGUUUUGUAUCUACUUUUGAAAUUAUCUUUGUAAUUUGUAUUAUUUUGUCUUAAAAAGAAGAUUACCCUUUACUAUGAAAGUGUACACCAAACUCCCUUGAAUUGUAGUUAAUGAACUUAUCUUUUAUAUGCAUACACCAUAGUUUGGCAAUGGUUGGAUAAUAAGACUUUUCUUAGAUAGUUCCUAUUACUUUAUUUAAUAAUACAUUACAAAACAAAAGAACAAUAUUAGUUUUUAACUAAAAAGGAAGCCUUCAUAACUGUCUUAACAAAUAUUGAAGUUAAGCCUAAAGAUCUGAACCUGUCUGUAAUGCUCCAGUCCGUUAGGGUGUUUUGUCUGGCUGAAUGAUACACAUCAUGUAUUCCUGACGGGCUAAUGGAUGUUACAUGAAGUUUUUUACUUAGCAAGUUUGAAGGUUAAAGAGACUCAUAAGCCUAUUAAUGAGAUCUCGAAAGUGGUGAUUCAGUUGUUAUAGUAUUUUUGGGGUGUAAUGGCUAUCGAGCUACCCAAGAAGUUACCUCCUAAAAGGGAGGUGGAUCACAGGGUUGAGUUAAUACCCAAUGUUAAACCGUAAACCAGGUCCCUAUACUGAAUAUCAACGCCAGAAUUGGAGGAACUACGAAAAUAAUUGAAGGAGCUCUUAAAUUUUGGGUUCAUUACACCAUAUAAAGCCCUAUAUGGUACAACAAUAUUGUCAUUGAGAUUGUGCAUCAGCUAUCGGGCAUUGAACAAGACCACUGUGAAGAACAGAUACACAAUUCCACUUAUUGCAUAUUUAUUUGAUCAACUUGGUAGCGCAAGUUGGUUUACCAAGUUAGAUUUGCGAUCGGGGUGCCAUUAAGUCAAAACAGUCAAAUGGGAUGAGCCAAAAAUAGCUUGUGUGACACGCUAUGGCUUGUAUGAGUUCCUUAUUAUGCCUUUUGAAUUGACUAAUGCUCUAACGACAUUUUGCACACUGAUGAAUAAGAUACUUCAGCCUUUCUCAAAUCAUUCUUUGGUUGUUUAUCUUAACAACAUUGUGGUGUACAAGUCACUUGAGAAGCAUAUGGAGUAUUUGAGAGAAGUUUUCCAAACCUUACAAGAGAAUAAGAUUUAUUUCAAGGAGGAAAAAUGUUCAUUUGCUAAAUGUGAGAUACCAUUCUUAGGUCAUAUUGUGGGAGGUGACAAAAUUUGGGCUAUUGUUGAUUGAGAGCCACCAACCAAGGUAACAAGGUUGCUAUCUUUCCUUGGGUUGGCAAAUUAUUACCCAUGCUUCAUUGAAGGCUACUUCAAAAUCACCACACCCUUGACAGAUUUAUUGAAGAAGGGUACUGUGUGGGAUUGGAACGAACAGUGUAGAAAGCCUUUGAUCAAAUGAAACAAGUAAUAACCAAAUAGACCGUGCUUGUCUGGUCGGAUUAUACUAAACUGUAUUAGGUGCAUACGGACACAUCAUACUAUGUAAUCAAAGGAACACUGAUGUAGGAUGGGCAUUUUAUAGCUUUCAAAUGUUGAAAGCUUAAUGAUACUAAGCGGAGGUAUAAGUUUCAAGAGAAAGAGGUGACCAAAAUAGUGUAUUAUUUGCACACAUUGGGACACUAUCUGUUGGGCUUUAGGUUCGUGGUAUUUAGGGAUAAUAUUGCAAAUAGUCAUUUUCUAACUUAGCAAAAUUUAUCUUCCAAGCAGGCUCAUUGGCAAGUUUUCUUAGUAAAAUUUGAUUUUAGCUUGAAAUAUAAGUUGGGGAGAGCCAACGUAGUGGCUAAUGCAUUGAGCCAAAAAAUAAAGUUUGUAAAAAUUAAUCAACCUAAUAGUUUCUAUUAGAGUGCAUUAGAGAGGUAUUGUCUCAUGGUCCCACAACCAAAACUUUGAUUGAACUUGACAAAAAAAGGAAAAUAAGACGAUUUUGGCUUGAAGGAGAUUUGUUGUAUACUUAGAGGCAUCUUAUUUAUGUGCCUAAAUAUGUAAUAUUGCGUAAGGAAAUCAUGAAAGAGUGUCAUGAUAUGAGAUGGGUUGGCCAUCUCGAUAUGUACCACAUACUGGCUUUUUUGAAGUACCGUUAUUAUUGGCCUCACGUGGGUGAUGGUAUUGAGACCUAAGUGAAAAAUUGUCUAGUGUGCCAACAAGACAAGGUAAUGUUAAAAAGUCCAACUGGUUUAUUAUAGCCUUUGCCUAUUCUAGAAUUCGCAUGGGAGAGUUGUUAGAAAAAUAUCCAGAUUGAAAACAGUUUUUUACUUAGCAAAAAAAUUACUAAAAACUAAAUUAGUUUGUGAUAUUUAUAGCAAUAAACCUUAACUGAAUACGGAUUUAUGUUUUCUGAUAAGCAGAGCCUUAAUGUCACGGGCCACGCAAAGGAGCCUGUAACUAAUGCACACAUUUUAGACCCUUCGUGUUUAUUUGGGGUCAUUCGGCCCGACAAGACUGGCCCAUUGCUUGGAAAAGACUCAAGUUCCAUCUUCUUAGAUCCUAGUUAAAAUGUAAACACUCCAAUAACUUAUAUUUUUACCAAGAUAAUUAUUGUAAAUCCUAAAAAAUAAGAAGGUAUAAAAUUUAAAUCCCUUAGAACUCUCAUCCUGUAGAUGUGCACUAAUCUCAGCAAUUGAUGUAACUCAAUUUCUACCGCUGGGUCUAGGGGAGAUCAACCAUAAAUAGAGCCCUCCCCCUUCAUUUGUAAUCACUUCAUUCUUGAGUAAUAGAAUAUUUUUGAGAGCAUUUAUUCAAACAAUUAGUGUGUUAUUGUUUUGUUAUGGCUUUUCUGUUUGAUUCGACUUCCUUUUUCUUUGAGUUGCUUCUGUUUUAUUUCGGCGCCUUAGAGAAUUUUCUUUGUGAAUUCUUAUUUUCGAGAAUUAGGCUGACUUUGAAAAUUUUGAACCAAAGAAAUUGCAUACCGUCGCGCUGUUUGUCAAACUAAAGUUCUAUUCCCGUGACACUUCCACGUGGAUGCCACGUCAGCAAAGUUAAUCGACAUUAACUUUUUCAUCCAUUUUAGGGUGAUUUAACAAAUGCAUUCAAGAGCUAAAGAAACGAAAAAUUAAAUAGCGGGCUAAAAUGAUUUUCUAUGUAAAGUUAGAAAGUCAAAAAAAUAAUUAUGCUUAAAAAAUAAAGAUAAUUAUUUUGUUGACUUAUAGAAAUAAAAAUAUACCCUCCACGAGUAGGUUCAAAAAUAUUUUAUUGUGUGCUUAUAACAAAAAUAAAAAAUAUCACAUUAUAACCUCCUAAAUUCACAUAUUUUGGUUUAAAAUUCUUGAACGUAAUAGUUAUCCUAAAACAUAAGGAAAUUUUAAUUUUAAAAAAAUACUAAUAUUAAUAUUUUAAAAUCGUUUGAUAUAUAUUUUCUUAAAAGUCAAGCCUAUUAUACCUAAUCUUUUGUGUGAGAUUUUCAAAGGCCCGAUUUAGUUCAAUAUAAAUAUGUUUGAAUCCAAGUAUUCUUUUUAGACUUCUUGGGUAAAUUAUAUUAAUUGCAUCUAAACUUUGAUUAAAAUUACAUUUUAAUCACUCAACUUUUAAAAGUUACAUAAUUAUCACUAAACUUAUCAAAAUGUUACAUUUUGUUCACUCAUUCGUUAAUAUGGCAUGUUAAUUUAAAAGGUUAAUAACCAAUUUAGCCCCUAAAAUAUAACUAUAAAAUAUCAAUUUGAUACUUUUAAAAUUUUUCUUAAUAAUAUUUCUAAAAAAUUUAAAGGUUAAAUAACAAAUUUAGACCUUAACACUUUACACAUUCUGUCAAUUUGUUCCUAAUUCUAAAAAAUUCAACAACUCUAACCCUCAAUAUUUGUGGAUUUUGUCAAUUUAGUCCAAAUUCAAAAAAAUAUAAUGUUAAAAACUUGAAAAUAUAUAAAAUUUAUUAUAAAAAGACAUAAAAAUAUAAAAUAUUAAAAAAUAAGAUUAAAUAAAGACUUAAAUAUUAAUUUGGUAGAGGAAUUCAAAUCAAUAUUUCUUGAAUUUUAACAAAAUCUUUUAGGGAUUCAACAAAUUUUAACCCUCAAUUUCUCUUGAAUUUUUUGAACCAAUAUUUCCAUUUUUUUCUUUAAACCCAACGAGCUAAACAAGACCUUUGAAUUAACUUUUUAAACUAAUCACUACCAAAUCCAAUCAACACCAUGAUCAAACAGUUGGUUGAGGGAUUCAAAUUGGAAAGCCUUUACUUAUAUAAACAUCUCUAGCUCUAUUUCAACAGCAAAGUGUAGGGUUGUGAGGGAUUCAAAUGCUUAAGUCUAAGUGAAGCUUCACUGAUCAAUUUUUCCUCAUUAAAAGAAAACAUAAAACUAAGUUUGGAUGUAUCUGUAAAAAAAAAACGGACUUUGGGUGUGGGUUUAAUGGUGAGUGCGAUGAUGAAGUGAUGAUGGAGUUUGGGUCUAGUAAAUUUGGCUAUGGAUUUGGUAUGGUAUUUGAUAUUGUGAGGUUUAGGCAAGAGUAUGAGAACAAUAGGAAUUUUGAAGAUGAACAGGAAAGGAGAUAAAGGGAAGAAUAUUGUUUUUCAAAGUUUCUCUCUUUUGUUUGGUUGACUAGAAAAUCUGGUAAUAGGAAAGAAAAUUUUGAACUUUUUCUCUUGUAGUUUUUUAAUCGCGGUGUUAUGUAGUUGCAUAUGUCAAAUGUAGGAGCGUUUUGUGGGUUUCUAAUGAUUUUGAAUUAUAACUAAGAAAAUUUUACUUAUUUCGAUUAUGGGUUUUGAUUGACUUUUUUUUGAAUGUUUUAUAUUUUUUAAUAUUUUAUUUUUUUUUGAAUUUUUAGAAUUUGGACUAAAUUGACAAAAUGUGCAAACAUUAAGGGUUAAAUUUGUUGAAUUUUUUAGAAUUAGGACCAAAUGAAAAUUAAGUCUUUAUAUAAAGUUAUAUAUAUUUUUAUGUCUUUUUAUAAUAAAUUAAAUAUUUUCAAGUUUUUAAAAUUAUAGUUUUUUUUUAUUUUUUGAAUUUGGACUAAAUUGAAAAAAUGUGCAAACUUUGAGGCUUAAAUUUGUUAAAUUUUUCUAGAAUUAGGACAAACUUUAUAGAAUGUGUAAAAUGUUAAGGGUUAAAUUCAUUAUUAUACAAAUCGAAAGACUGCCAUGUCAGUAUUCCGUUCAGUGACUAAGGUAUUUUAAUAGUAGAGUGACUGAAAAUGACAAUUAAUCUAAUGGAAGUAACUAAAUUAAUGAAAAAAAAUAAUUUGAUGACCAAAAUAGGAACGCAUUAAAACUUGGGUGACUAUCUGAGUAGUUUACCCUUUAAAUUUUAUAGAAUUAUUAAAAAUUUAAAAGUAUGAAAUUAAUAGUUUAAGGGUUAAAUUGGUUAUUAUCUAUUUACAUUAAUGGAAAUUAAUGAAAGAGUGACCAAAAUAUAAUAUUUUAAUAACUUGAAUGAAUGAAAUAUAAAUAUAAAUUUAGUGAAAGUAAGAAUUAUUUGGAGAGAAAAUAGGGGAAGGUAUGUUAGUAAUGUGUAGGGACAGGUGCAUGGGAAAGAGAAGAAAGAGAAGAUGCCUAAGAAAAUAAUAAAAUCAUUGAAUUAUGCAAAUAUAUUUAAGAUGGGAUAAAUAUGUAUCCUUAUAUUGUAAAAAGAGAUAUUAUUUAAGAUGCAAAUGAUGCCAAGAUUUUGUUCUAAUUUGUAGGGUCUGCAAUAUUAUUACUUCUCCUAUCAUACACCAUGUUGAGUAUUUUAAGUCUAAAACACAUAAAUUGUAACUGGUUGGCAAGCAGGAUAAUAAUAAGUUAGCUAGUGAGUGUAAGUGAAUUAUGGGCUAAAGAAUUAAGUCAUGGUGGCUGUGAUGCGGUGAAAUCUUUUAUCUUACUUAAUAGUAAUUAAUUUCAUUACCAUCUUUAUUUUUAACUUUACCACCCUCCAAAAGCACACUAAUUUACCUUUGUAGUAGCCAUGCUCAUAUUCACCUUCCUUAUAUAAGUAUUGAGAAUUCCAAGUUAAAAUUUUAUUGUUUGAGUUGAGUAUUUUUCCAAUGAAAAAUUAGAGUUAAAAGGUAAUUAUUUAAUUCGGUAUUUAUAAUAAAAAAAUUUAAUUGAAACUAUUAAUAUAGUUGUAAUUUCAAAAAUAAAAAUCAAUCCAUUAAAUUUAUUGUGUUUGUUGAGAAAUUACUUGACAUAAAUGGAAGUCCUAGUAAUAAAAUCAUGUAAUAAGAUUGAAAAGCUUUGAUAAAUCGAAUGUACCAGAAGGGGAUUGAUAAUUAAAAUUUUAUUUUCUAAGGUUGAAACACCUCAAAAUGGAUGGAAAAGUUUGUUUUUUUAACUUUCCUGACAUGACAUACAUGUGGAUUACUGUGUGAAUGACACGCCAACAUUAAAACUAUUAAAUAUAUAUAAUAUAAAAAAUAUUUAGAAAUUUUUAAAAAAAUUAAUUAAAGACAAAAUUUGGUGAGUCGUUUUAAUUUGUUAUUUGCUUCUUCUUUUUUUCUCUCAUUAAAUUCUCGUUGUUGUUAGACUUAUUUGUUUGAACACAUGGACAAUAGAGAUAUAAGUGACUACAAAAUUAAUUCUUGAACUACACUCAAUAUCACUCCACUUAAUAGAACAAGUCAUUGAUGCUUCGAGAGGAACAAAGAAUAGGUCUACUUCAAUAUAUUUUUUGAGCGCAUAAACAGAGAAGUUUCCUAUUUCUUUGCUUACUUUUGGAACAUAGAGGACAAUGUUCGAUUAAAGUGUGAGAGAAUCGAGUUAAUUUAGUUUGCAUGAUUUUUUUUGCAUAUUUUAUUUCUUCGAUUUUUAUGUGAUGCAUGCAAUUUGCAUGAAAUCUUAACUUGAUGAGAUGUUGAAUUAUUUUUAUAUGCCUUUGAGAUUUGGAAACUUGUCGUAAUGAAUAUAUUUGAAACCUAAAUGUUGAUUUUAUAUAGAAUUUGCAACAUUGAUUGAUGUUUUUAGGAUGUUUGUUAGAACAAUAGAUGCUCCAUAUGGUCUUAAUUCAUUGUUAUUUUCUAUUGACACGUUUUUUAUAAUCGAAUUUAGAAUUUUCAAGAGAAUUAUAUGGAUUGAAACAUGCUUGCAAAGAAUGAUCUAGGUGAAUUUUUGAUAUGUUUCAAGCUUGAGUAUUGGAUUGACUUUUCAUGGAUGUGCUUAAUUGGAUAAUUUUGAUAAUAAGCAUGAGAAUUGAUUACUUUGCUAUCUACUUCAUGAGCUUAAAAAAGAACUAGUGACCCGACUGAAUAACCAGAGAUAGGUGCUUGAUUGUCAUUUACCUUCAUGUCAAAAGGUUUGGUGUUUCUUAGUAUACUUUGUUGAUGUAGAUAUGAGUAAAGUCGAAGACUAUUUAGAUUCAAUUAACUAGGUAAUUUAGGUUAGGUGCUUGGGUUGUCAUUUGCACUCGCGUUCAAAGGUAAUCAUCCUAAAUUCAAAAACAAAAAAAAAAAAGAAGAAGAAGAGAGAGAUAAGAAAAGAAAUUUGAGAUUAAUUAUAUUAUUACUUGAAUUAUUCUUCUAUCUCAUGCUAAUAAAAAAAUUUCUAUGAUGAAGUUGAAAGAAAAGAAAUUCGAUACUUUAUGCUCAAUUGAAAUUGUGGAUUCUGGAAACCUAAUGACUUUUGAAAGCAUGAUGAAGUUUGAAAAUAUUUUCUUGAUUUUUCUAAUAUCUCUUAUACAUGACAUAUUAUUAGGGAAGAUAACCACACACGAGCAUGAAGGUCUAUUUUUUUCUAAUUCUUCCUAAUUGUAUAAAUUAUUGUUAUUGCUAUAUUUUGUUUAGCAUAUAGAAUUUUGAAUGUGCUCAUGAAAGCAUGUUUGCUUGUUCCAUUAGUAUAUAACGAUAUUUUUAAUUGUUAAUUUAAGUUGAGUAUUUUCUUAGGUCACAUAUGCAUUUGUUGUAACAACCCAUUUUUUAGUGGUACCAGAAACAACAGUUUCAAAACCCCGUAUUCCGAUGAUCGAGUUAGUAAAUAUUAUUUAAUAAUAUUUAUGAGUCUAUUAUAAUGUUUUAUUGAAUUUUGAUAUGAUAAUUUUGAUAAUUGGACAGUUAGUCAAGGUACAAAUGGUGUGUAUCGAAAGUCAGUGAUUUAAAAAAAUGAGGUAUCAGAGCCUUUUUCCAUAAACCCAACUCAUAAAUAUUAUUAUUGAAUAUUUAUGAAGUUAUUAUAUAAGUAGAUUGAAGUUUGGUCUGGCAAUUUUGGCAUUUAGUUAGCUAAUUAAGGAAAAAUGACUAAAUCGUAAAAAAUGCAAAAAUUAAUCACUAUUAGUUUAUAUACUAAAGGAUUAUAAAUUUAUAGUUGGAGGGUAUAUGAUGCAAUUAGCCCAUAUUAAUUAUAGUGGAGGGUAUAAUGCAUGAUUCAUUAUCAUAUUAUAUGUUAAAAUUAAUAUAAAAAUAAGAUUAAAAUAAGUUAAAACAUAAAAAAAGAGAGUAAAAGAUGGCCAUUUUCACUUCAUCUCUUUCAUUCUCACCACCGAAUGGAAGCCAUGAAUUCAUUUAAGCUCUCAUCUUUGCAAGGUGAGUGAGUUUUAAUCCAUUUUUAGUAAAUUUUAUAUUUUUUAGAUCAUUACAAUUAGGUCCAGUUAACUCGUAUUUUUGUUUUUAAAAGUGUUAAAGAUUUAAAAAGUUUUCAUUGAUUUUGUUUGAAGUUUUUGAAUGUUUAUUGUAUAUUUUGAAGCUUAGAAAUUAAUUAGGAUUAAUUUAUUAAAUAAAUUUUGUUAGUUUUGAGUUAGGGACUAAAUUGUGAAUAUAUUGAAAUUGGUAUGAAUUUUUGUAAAUUUUGAUAAUAGGAGGUUGUAUAUGAACAUAAUUGAAGUGGGCUUAAAAUUUGAAGUUCAAUUUUGGAAGAUAUAAUAAGUUUGAUUUUAGGGGAUAAAUUGAAUAAAAUGUAAAAUUUUAGGGCAUAUUUGAAAAAUGAAAUUUAAUUAUUAUACGAUACAACAGGUUAUUUUGAGAUGUUUGAAAUUGAUAAAUUAAAUUACAUUAUAUUAUAGAUUGAGAUUUGAACUAUUCAAUAGAUAAGCACGAAAAAGGAAAAAUUGUGAAUUAGUCCUCAAAGUCGUGUUUGUGGCUGUUUUGGUUAGGUAAGUUCAUAUGAGACUUACUUUCUUAAUUCAUAAUAUGUUUAUAUUAUAUUGUUUUACUUAUAGUUUGAAUUGUUAUGUAAUUAUUGUCUUUUGGCAUCAAAUGGACUAAAUCGUAAAAUAUAAAUUAAAUGGCAAAUAUGGAUAAAUACAUGACAUCGAAUGAAUGUGACAUUGCUAUAUGAUUGGAGAGUAUGUUUAUAUUGAUGUUACAAGGUUAAAAUUGUAACCGAAUUUCUAUUUGAAAAGUGAAAAGUGUGUAUAUGGCUAUUGAGAUCGUAAUGAACUGUAUAUGGUAAAAAUGCCCGAGUGAACGUAUUAAAGGAUAGGAUACAAUUGGCAUGGCAAUAAGGUUAUUGCAUGUUGUAUGGGAUACAUGUGUUGAUAUAGAGAUAUUACUGAUUAUAACGGACUGUAGCAUUUGUUGUGGAUUACCGAGUUAUACUGGUGUGGCGGAGGAAUGUAUUGAUACUGAUUAUGUAAUGCACGGGCUUUGCAUUUAGGUGUUCUAGUGUGUUGUAGUUUAAGCUCUUACAAGCAUUCUGGUGUGGUGUAGCUACCUGUGUAUCUGAGCUAUUUAUUAUAGUUCAUCGGGCUACUAGAAUAAUAAAAAAGAGAAAUGACUAUGAAAUAAUACGAGUCACACACUCAAUUGGUUUUAUGAUGAAGAAAUGAUAAUAAUGGUAAAAUAUUGAAUAAUAUAUUACAUGUUAUAAGGCUAUAUUAAACUUUUAUACGUUGAACUAAUCUUAAUAUUGUAAAAUACGAUGUUAAGCUAAAUUGUACCAAGUUAUGAGAUUGCUAUGUUUAUAAAUAAGCAAAGUUGAAUGGCAUGAUUGUACUUGCAUAUGAAUUGGACAAUAUGAUCUUAUUUUAUAAAUAAACUAACCUUGUGUGAAUUUGUGAAGUUGUAUAUGUAUGCAUAAGGAUGCUAAAGGAGUGUCAUAUUUUGUACAAUUGUGUUUCAAAUUACUUUAACUAGUUGAAAUGGAAAGGUAUGUUUAGUUAUUUUCAUAUGGACUUACUAAGCAUUUGAUAUGUUUACCUUGUUGUUUCCUUUCUCUUGUAGAUCGCUAACCUGCAGAACAUGUUAGGCAGAUCAUCAAGAAGCUCACACUAUCUCGGUAUUGAUUCGGUAGUCUUUUGAUCGUUCAAAGCUUGGUUUUGUGGCAUGUGUAUAGGUGUACUUAUAUAUGUUUACCUUGGUUGCAUAGUUUGGUUUGCAUUUGGAUAAUAUUUGAAUUAUGGUAUAUGUUGAUGUGGAAUGGUUUGAAAGUAUGAAAGUAUAGACAAAGUUUGAAUUAGUGAUUUUGGUAUGUUCUGGUGCCUAUUGAGGCAUAUUGGUUAGCUGAUUGGAAAAUACCAAAUUGUUGAAAUGUUGAAUUAGUUUUUUUAAAAGGGAGAUAUAUGAUAUUUUGGCAUGUAUAAAGAGUUAUAAAUGCAUAUAGGUUGAAUGUUAAACAAAAACUUCUCUUGAAUGUAAAUGGUCUUGAUCCAUAUGAAAUUAAUCAUUUACUUUUAAUAUGUUUAAGGACAUGUUCACAUAUAUAUGUGUGUGUGUGUGCGCGCAUGUGCGUGUGUAUGUAUGUGUUUUGUUGGGUGGAAGUGGAUGUUGGAUUGAUGAUGGAAUGAAAUGUAUAUAUAUGUUGAAUGGGGCAUAGUAUGCACUUAGCCCUUGAUAGGUGCAUGUAUUCAUUUGAAUUUUGGAAAGUGUAUGCUUUGCAAUUGAUGAAAAUUGUAUGUGAGUAUAGAUGUCCAUAAUGAAAUGCUUUGGACAACUUGUUUGGUGCUCAUUGGUUAGUAAGGAUGAAUAUAUAUAUUAAACUUAUGCUUAACACUUUGGUAUAGCAUGUAUAGUCGAGUGUGUAUGUUAAAGUAUCAUUGAAGGAAUGUGUUUGAAUGGUUGAAUUAUGUUUGUUUCGGAUGUAUUAAAUAAGUUCAUGUAGUUGUUGUGUGUGUUUGUAUGCAUUCUUAAUGUGGUAGUUGAUUUGGGUAUGAAAUGAACUAUUAAACUUAUAAUUUUGACCAUCUAGGUAAAAGUAUCGAUACUAGAUACCAAAGUAUCGAUAUUUCACCAAAAUGAACAGUGUUUUAAAAAUGGCAUAAUGCCAAAACAGUAUCGAUACUAAUUUUUGGUAUCGAUACAUUUGAUAAAAAUACCAAUACUUGUUCCCUUUGUAUCAAUACCUAGUUUCAAAUAUUGAAAAUUUUAGAUUGGUCCUUAAUCAUGCUUAAAUCUAUUAAACUAUGUUUGUAUGCUCAAAUUAGCCUCUGUUUGGUUCAUAACUUCUAUUAUGUAUGUAUUUAGAACAACUUGAUGAUUUAAAUUGAAUUCAAUGUUAUGAUUUGCAUGUGAAUGUUUCAAUAACUGUAGUAGCAUCUGAAACUUGAGUCCGGUGAUUGGACCGGGUGAGAGAUGUUACAUUUGAAUUUUCAUUCGCAUUAGUUUCAUGCUUGAAGAUAAGCAUGGUUCAAGUGUGGGGGAAUUUAAUAAGUGCAUAAUUUCCUAAUUGUUUGUGAUAUUUAUCUCAUCGAAUUAUGCUAUUUAUGUUCUUAAUUAUAUUAAUUAUAUUAUAUUUAUUAUCAAUUUAGGGAAUAAUUGAAGAAAAAUGAGCUUAAAGUUUAUUUUUUGGUAGUUUUUGUGGUUUGGAUUUUCAACAUAGUGUAGUUUUAGUAUUUGGGCCAUAUCUUGAGCUACAAACCUCCAUUUUUUGGGUCCAUAAUAUAAUGAUUUGAAUAGAAUUGAAAUAUCUAGCUAAAGUUAUUUCAUGAUUCUAGCAAAAAAAAUGUCAAGAAGGCACCUAAAAAUAGCCUAAAGUUUGACGCGAAGAAAAAUUCUAGUUUAUGUAAUCAAGGGCACUUUUGUGUUUUCUCCAUUAUAUUAUUUUUCCCUUAUAAAUAGAUAUUAUUAGGUUGAAAGAGGGGGAUAAUGGUUCUUAGUUUUUAUCUUGGUUUUGUGUUUUAUUUUUUUUAUGAGUUUUUAAACCUUCUUUUCUAGUCUAAGGUUAUUGAAGCUUGAUUCUUUAAAAUUUGUGAGAUCUAAUAAUUACUCUUAAUUUUUUAUUUGUUAUUUAAUAUUUGCAUGUAUUAUAGAUUAAUUACAGUUGUUCAGGUUUGUUAAAUAUUGAGUCGGUAUUUUAUAACUUAGAAUAAUUGUUUUCUUAAUUAGAUAAUUAGUCGAUCGAUUGAUUUCUAUUAUUUGUGACAACUGCAUGAUUAUUGGUAUAGUGUUGGCAUGCGAUCUAACUUAAAUAAACUCUGGUUGUGAAUUUGUUAGUUAGAAUUGAGGAUUUCAUUCUCAAGGCUAUUGAUAAAUUAAAUUCCUAAGCCCAAGAAACAAUAACAAGCAAUAAAAAAACUAAUGACAAUUUAAAGAAUGAGUUGAUAAAAAAUUGUGAAAUCUAUUUUUAUUAAAGCAGUUAAAUUAAAAGUUUUUAUAUUCUCUUUCUCUUCUUUUGUUCUUUUUUCCCCUCUUGUUUCUUUCAUGAAUAACUUGAGCUGUCAUUGUCAUUCAACUGAUGUACAGCCUUCGAUUAGUCUUAUCUAACUGUUUUGAUCAAGAUCAAUAGUUGUCCCAUCAAGUUUGUUGAGCCUACGAUCCUUUGUUUCACGAUCGUCAAGUUAGUCCAUUUCCUCGAUUGUCACCAUUUCUCCAAUGUUGACAUUUUUUAGAAUUGAAAAGGUACAAGCCCAAGAAAUUUGAUGGAAAAGGUGUUAGGGCAAUGUUUCAAAGUGACCCAUACAUUUCCCUUAUUUCCUUGACUUGAAAACUCUGUGCUAGAGUUUAAGAAAUUUUCCCUUUUUUGUGUGUGAAAAUUCCAAACACAUGUAUCUUUUCUCAGGGCUUGAGCAAUUGUAUUUCUUUUUUUUAGGAUCCCUAAUGAGGUCUUUCUCACUAUCAAAUACAGAUGAUGUUUGUUUGUAUAUGUUUGUUAGGGUUUAGAAAUUCAUUUUAGUGUUUUAUGAUUUUUUUUUGGGUUUAAUGUUUUAUGAAAAUUUUGUUUUAGUUUAGAUAAUUUUAUUAAUAAAUGAUUAAUAAAUAAUGUCAUGAAAAAUAAUUUUUCAUUUGAAAUUUGAUCUCAUUGAUUGCAAAUCUCAAUGGAAAAUUUAAAUGUUUAAACAUAAAUUUUUUGAUUUUUCUUCCUUAGUUAAUUAAGGAUGAACAUGAACAACAAAGAAUAGACAAUGGAGAGAAAUUAAAGGAAAUUCAGGGGAAAAAGAAAGAAAACGAGGAUUGGAGAAAAAAAAAUGAAAGAGAAAGGAAAAAAUUGGGUUUUCAUUUUUUAAUUAUUUUUAAAAAAAAUAUUAUUAGUUAUGUUAAAUUAAGUAUAUUUUAUAUGAUAUUUAAAGGUUUAUUAUUAUUUUAUUUUUUUACCUUUAAAAUAAAAAUAAUAUAAUUAAGGUUUAUUAUUAUUUUAUUUAUUUUUAGGUCCCUUGACUUGACCCUUUUCUUACAAACACUUGCACAUGGCAUCUUACUAUUAGUCCAUGUGUCCUGACAAGUCAUAAAUUAACACCAUUAGUUAGGGUAGAGGUGCUCGUGAGCUGGGCCUAAACAUGAUAUUAACAUAUUUUAUGAUUGCCCAAGUCUGGCCCAACUCAAAAUAUAAGCUUAAAAUUUUGUCAAAACUCGCCCAUAUUUUCUAAAAACUAAUCUAAACCCAUUUAGGCCAGCCAUAUUAUUAUUUUUAAAUUUUUAAAAAAUAUUUAUAUUAUAUUAUUUUAAUAUUUAAUAAUUUUAUACAUUUUUUAUUUAUUGAAAUUUUUUUAUAUAGUUAUCUUAACAUUAUUUUAAUGUUUACAUUAGAAUAAUAUUAUAUAUUUAGUAUAGAUUUAUUUUUUUAAUAUGUUCUAAAUUACAUAAUAUAUAAAAAACAUAAGAUAAAAUAUUAUAAACUUAAAAAUGGACCAGGCUUGGGCCUUAAAUGUUUAAGAUAGAGUCUGACCUAUAUUUUAAACGAGCUUAAUUUUUUUUUGUCCAAGUCUAUUUUUUGAGCCUAAUAUUUUUACCUAAAUCCUCUCAAAUUUUGGGCUGACCUUUGCACGUCUAAGUCAGAGGUUCUAUAUUGAUAAACAAUAGAAAAUUAUAGGUAUCAAAAUAGACAUUUUAAAAGUAAAAUUACCACAUUAAAAGAUUUGAUAAAGUUUAGGUACCAAAUCUGACAUUAAGCGUACCGGCAAUUAUCCUUAUUGUAGGCUGUAGCCAAGACCCAAUACAUCUGACCGCGCUGAAUCACACAACAAACAAAGGAUAACUCUUCUUACUAAUAAACCCUAGCAAAUUUGUCGUGAUUGGUGUAUAAAUCAUCUUUCUUAUUCGCUUAGCGGCUCUUUCGGAGAGAGAAGGAAGCACGUUUAAGGUAAAGACGAUGGUGUCGGGAUCAGGGAUAUGCGCAAAGAAAGUGGUGGUGGAUGCCCGCCACCACAUGCUGGGACGGUUGGCUUCGAUCGUGGCCAAGGAGCUGCUCAACGGCCAAAAGGUUGUCGUUGUCAGAUGCGAGGAAAUCUGCAUGUCGGGCGGACUCGUUCGCCAGAAGAUGAAGUACAUGCGGUUCCUUCGCAAACGUAUGAACACCAAGCCUUCUCAUGGUCCCAUCCAUUUCCGUGCCCCCGCCAAGAUCUUCUGGCGCACCGUUCGUGGGCCAGUCUUUAAUUGUCUCAGUCUAAUCUACAUUAUAUACAUAUUUUUUUUUAUUUUGGGUCUGAUUUUGUAAAAUGAGGAGCUCAAGUGAAAUGGGUUUGUCGAAAUUUAUGUUUUGUUUAUAUCUUCGAAGCAAUGAGGCUAAACCCAAUAGUAAAUUGCUUGCAUUUUGAGCAUUAGUUAGAAGAAUGUUUGAGUUUGAUGAGAUUUAAGGUUAAUGAAUUUUGUAGAAUGCUACCCCAUAAGACUAAGCGUGGAGCGGCUGCCCUCGCUCGUUUGAAGGCUUAUGAGGGUAUUCCUGCCCCAUUUGACAAGAUUAAGAGGAUGGUCAUCCCUGAUGCACUUAAGUAAGUUUAUGUUUUACACUCUCUUUGAUUUUUAUUGCUAUUGCUAUUGCUAUUGCAAUUCCCGUGAUUCUGUUCUAAUCUUUUCUUAUAACUUUUGAUUAGGGUCUUGAGGCUUCAGAAAGGGCACAAGCAUUGCUUGUUGGGCCGCUUGUCAUCAGAGGUUGGAUGGAACCACUACGACACCAUCAGGGUGAGUUUAUCUUAUCAUUCACUGCUUUGCCCUUGACUGUCCUUUAAUCAAUCUAUGCCCUUAUUUUUUGUGAUAAGCACCUUUUGGAACUAUUUGGGGGGGGUUUAACUGUGGCUUAAGUUGUUUAUUUAACUUUAUAUUUGCUUGUUUAGUUGUUGAGGAAAAACAUCCAUCAACUUGGGCAUGAAUGUUCUUUUUUCUUAGUGCUUUUAGGAACUACGAUAAUGUGAAACAACUGCAGAGGAAUUAGUACCUUCUUAGGAUAGGAUGUUAUCGACUAAGAGCUGUAUGAAUUUUCUUAGGCACCAAGGAAAAAGAUCAUGCGCAUAUUGUUAUACAUUUUGUCAUUUUAGUGGGUCUAAUUGGGCUUUGGUUUUAUCAUCCUUCUGAUAUGUAAGUCUUGCGAGUACUGGUAUCAAUGCACAAACAACACUAGGCUAUCUGGUGCAUAAUGAAUUGUCAAUAUAUAUCUAAUGGGAAAUGCCCCCAGUAUUAUACUAAGGGUUAUUUCUUGAAAUUAUAAAAUUGUGUUUAGAUUAUGUUUCUACUGUCUAAUAAUAAGAUUUGACUUCAGGAGCUGGAGAAGAAGAGGAAGGAGAGGGCUCAGGUUGCAUAUGAGAGGAAGAAGCAGCUGAACAAGCUUAGGGUAAAGGCUGAGAAGACGGCUGAGGAGAAACUUGGUUCACAACUAGACGUGCUUGACCCUGUUAAGUACUGAAUUUGUAGUGGAUAGCUAGUUUUUUCUUACAAUUUUGUUCAAGUUCUCUCUGUAUGGGAUUUGGUUUCACUGUUUUAUUCUGUACGGGAUUGUUGAAUUUUGACAGUAAUCCUCUCAAUAUAUUUCACAUAUAUUCUAUCUCCAAUGAGUGCAUUAAAUUCCUAUUAUUUAGAUUGCUAGAAAACAUAUGUUCUAUCUCCAAUGGCUACAAAACAUGAAAGAGGAGAUUAGACAGUGGCCCGAAGUUGAAAGUUUGUGAUUGUUUUAUUAGAAAGACAAUCUUCUGGGUUCGAUUUCCACAAAUCCUUGUACUUGGACUAGGUUUGGUUGGACGGUAGCUGAUCAACAUUGUUGAUAUGUUUGCUUUGCUUUACAAAAAGAAAAAAAAAAAAAAAGAGUGGGUCGAAAAUACAAAGUAGGUAUUAUCGUUAGUCAAUUUUUUUUAUUUUAGUCAUCUGACUUUAAUAAGUCUUCAUUUUAGUCACUCCCGUUAAUUCAAUAUUGUUGUACACUCAUUUAAUCACCCUAAAAUUUUAAUAAGUUUUCAUUUUGCUCACUCAUUUAUAUUUUAGAAUUUUAUUUAUUUCUUCAAAAAAAAAAGCCUGAGAUUUUAUAGGAAAUUUGAGCUAUUUAGUUGUGGAGACUGAACCCAUGUUUUCCUUGUAACUCAACUCGUUGUAAAAAUCCAACUUUUCUUUAUUAUGUAACCCGGUUUUUCCCUUUUAACUAGAAAGACAAUUUAAAAAUUAAUUCCAAAAAAUAUCGAAAAUUAAAAAGAUAAAAUGUUUCCAUUUUGCCCAGAAAAUUCAAUAUAAAAUAUCAUGUUUUCCCUUUUAUGGGAGAAAACUAAAAUUAAUUUUUAAAAAAUAAAAUAAAUUAAAAAGAUAAAUUAGUUUUUGGAUAAUUAUUCGGUACAAUGGAGUAAAAAACUCCACAAACAUAUAUAAGAUGAUACCAAGUGUCUUUUUUAAUUAUUUAAUUAUUAUUUUAUUAUGAGAAAAUAUUCGGCACACAACCAAUCGAGUUUUUAGACUCCAUUAACAAUAUAUAAGAUAAUAAUUCAUAGUUUUUUCCAGUAAAAAUCCAAAAUUUUCCUAUAAAAACUCAGAAAAUCCCAAGUUUUCCUUUUUAUUGGAAAAUAAUUCAAAUUAAUUAUAAAAAAAGAAAAAAACAAAUUACAUUUUAAAAAGAUAAAAUGAAAACUUAUUAAAAUUGGGCUACUAAAAUGACUACAAUAACAUUGAGUGACCAACAAUGUAAAUGAAAAAGAAAACCGUCGACAGCAGGGUCGAACCUGCGCGGGCAGUGCCCAACAGACUUCAAGUCUGUCUCCUUAACCACUCGGGCAUAUCGACCUUGAUUAGGUGUGGCUUCAUUUAAAAUUUACUUAAUCAUAAGUUCCAACCCUAAAGAGAGGAGUGUAGAUAACUGCCAAAAUAAAAUUUGUGUUGUCACCGGUUGGGCAGAGCAGAAAGGGUAGGUUGAUUUACAUACACCUUUGGGAGUUGGCCGACAAGACGAAAUAAAAAUGGAAACGGGAGAAGAUGAAACCUUUACUAAUAAUAUAAUAUAGUAUGACCAGAUGGAAAAUGUCAACAACAUCUUCUAAUGUUUGAAUUAAAUAAAAUGUAAAAAAAUCGAUUAAUACUAUCCAAUUAAGCUUUUCUCUUAAUUAAGUUGACCUUUAAAAUAAAUUGAUAGCUAAUUAGAUACUGACAAGUGAUAACUUUUGGUUUAAUCUAAUAAUUUUCUUUAAAAAAUUAAAAAUAAAAAGUUAUAAAAAAAAGAAAAAGUUAUAAAAUAUAAGAAAAAUUACAAAAAUAUUAAAACUGAUAUAAACUUAUUAAAAUCAUAAAAACUUAUAAAAAUUAUAAAAUUAAUAAAACUUAAUAGAAAAAAAUUAAAAAAUUAAAAUUGAUAUAAACUUAUAAAAAUUAUAAAAAAUUAUAAAAACUUGAACUGAACUGGUUAGUUCGAAAUCGGCAAGGAUAUUGGCCAAGGAAAGUCAUUAGACUAGUUGACUUGGGAACUGAACGGUUGAAUCAAUUUUUUUUAAUAGUUUUAUCAAACCAAAAUAUUAUUAUCUAAUUAUUAAUUUAUGUCAAAAUAAAAUAUUCUAAUCAAGAUUUUUAGAAUCGGACAGGUGGUCGAAUCAGUCAGACCAUCGAUUUGUCUAUUCGACUGAUCAAUUCAGUUCAAUUAAAUAAAACAUUAAAAAUAAAAAAAAAUUAGUUCAAUUGUCCUAUUCUCAAAUCAACUAAUCUAAUGGCUUUAUCCUAACUGAUACCCUUGUCGAUUUCAGUCUAAUCAUUUCAACCAAUUGAUCUAAUCCAGUUCAAAUUUUUAUGAUUUUUUUAUAAAUUUUAUAAGUUUAUAUAAAUUUUAAAUUUUUUUAUGAUUUUUAUAGAAUUUUAAUAAGCUUUUAUAAUGUUUUAAAUAUGUUUUUAUUAAUUUUAUGAUUUUUUUAUAAUUUAUUAAAAUUUAUUAUAUUUUUAUAUUUUUAUAUCAAUUUUAAUAUUUUUUUAAUAUUUAAUAUUUUUAUAUUUUUAAUAAAUUUCUUUUAUGAUUUUUAUCUUUUCUUUAUGAGAAAAAUAUUAAAUUAAAUUGAAAGUUGUCACGUGUCACUAUUUUUUUUUUUAUAAUUUUAUUUUAUUUUACGUUUUUAUGAAUUUUGUAAGAUGUAAGUCGAAAGAAAAAAGAAAGGAAGAAAGAGGGUAAAGUGAUAUCAAUUAGUUUACAAGGAGAUGAAUUUGGUUUCUAACCAAAAAGGGAAAGUAAAAGGCAUUUUCCUCUACAUGGCUUAAUCUAAAAGUAAAUUAGAACUUCAAACAUUUCAUCAUAGCUGCUUCAAAUCUAAUCUUUUUUUAUCAAUCACACAGUAUACUCAAAAAAAAAAAAAAAAAAAAAAGAGUUUCUAAAUGCAUGGCAUUGGUGCAUUUUGUUUUAGGUUCCUCCAAACCAAUAUUUGAGUUUUUGGGUUAUGAAAGUAAAAAAGCAGGUUGGUUUUCUUUAAGAAGAAGAUACAUUUGUGGGAGUGGGAAAUUAAUUUGCAAGCAAAGGUGAUAAUUGCACUCAGGCGGGUCCGCUAACCAUCCUUUGCAUUACAUUUCCACCUAUUUCAAUUUAAUUCCACAUUCACUACACAAUAUGUAUGUGGCAUCUUCUGUAACUCUUUUGUUCCCCCCUCUCCUUUCAAUGCAAUGCCCAAAACGAAAUUAUACGAAAAGCCAAGAAGAUAUAACAUGAUUCAUGGUUUCCACUUCCAGUUGAAAUUUUAACGACUUUGGUCCACAAGGAAAAAAGAGAGAGAGGAAGCAGCUGCCAUUUUUUUCCCUUGCUCUUUCAGCUGCUUUGCUUUCAACUACUGCUACUGUCAGUGGCGUUGGAGUGCCUAUAUAUUAUAUACCAUACCAAGAAAUCAUCACCAAACCAGAACCAUAAUAAUGAAUGCCAGUGUUGCCACCCCCUUUAUCAUUAUCACCUGUCUCUUUAAUCCCCUCCAUUACUUGCAUGCCUUAACUUUCUUUCUGAGACAAAAUUCAAUCAUUACCCUUUAAUCCCAUUCCAUUAACCUUCCAUUAAGGGUUUAAGGGACUAAGAAAUUUCCUUCAUUUCAGGACGCUAGUGGAUUCUAUGGCCCUGAAGCUCUUCUGGGUCAGAUUCACGUUGUUCUUCGGCUUUUGGAUUGUUGCUUUCUGUGAUCAAGAUGGUAUGCAUAAUUUGUUUCGAUUUUUGGAUUCUUUCUCUCAUUAUAAUGGCCUGUUUUUGCUACAUUUGCUUUAGUUCUUAAUUUGCAACAUCAUUUUCUUGUUGCUUGUAAAGCUCUGACCUUCAUAUCACCAUGGAACAGCAUGAUCUAACAAAAUGUUAGAAACAGAAUGCUGAAGCUUUGAAUUUGUUGGAUUUACAUUUGAUUUUCUGUGAGACAGGUUUCUUGAGCUUAUCUUGUGGUGGAGCAAAGAGUUAUGUAGAUUCAUCUAAGAUAAAAUGGGUGUCAGAUGAUACAUUCAUAACCACAGGCAACACAACUACCGUUGAGUAUGCUGAAGGUACCUCCUCCUCGUCCAGCAUUGCACUUCGAUUUUUCCCGGAACCUCGAGGCCGCAAUUGCUAUAGGUUACCGGUAGAGAAUAUGUCCUCCAUUGUUCUUGUGAGGGCUCAAUUUGUGUAUAACAACUACGAUGGACUUGAGAAACCUCCAGCUUUCUCGGUGUCUCUUGGCAGAGCUAUAGUUAACACAGUGAACCUAACCCACAAAGAUCCAUGGAUCGACGAGUUCUUAUGGCCAGUGAGUAAGGAUACACUCUCAUUUUGCUUGCAAGCUAUUCCAGAUGGUGGAGCUCCUGUUAUUUCAUCACUGGAAGUUCGACCACUUCCUCGAGGCGCUUACCAAAGUGGCAUGGAUGAUAUUCCCAAUAAGUCACUUCGUAAAAGUUAUCGAAUUAAUAGUGGUUACACUAACGGGUCCUUGAGGUAAAAGCAUUUCAUUAUUCCUUAUCCAUAUAAGGCUUCUGUUUUGUGUAUCAGGAUAUCUGUGAUUUAACUUGAAUUAAACAGGUACCCUGUAGACCCAUUUGACCGCAUUUGGGAUGCUGAUCAAAGUUAUACACCCUUCCAUGCCUCGCCUGGAUUCAACAUUCCUCUUAGCUUCAAUUUGUCAAGUCUAAAAGAGAGCCCUCCUUUGGAUGUGUUGCAGACUGCUCGAGUUCUCGCACGACAGGAUGUGUUACAUUAUAACUUACCUCUAGAUAAGUUGGGGGACUACUACAUUGUACUCUACUUUGCCAGCAUCCUUCCUGUGUCUGCUUCUUUUGAUAUAUUAAUCAACGGGGACGUUGAGCUAUCAGAAUUCACUAUAAGAUCCUCAGAAGCCAGUACUCUAUAUUUUAAGCAGAAGGGAAUCAUAAAUCUGGAUAUUGCACUUAGAAGCAUCAUAUUCUACCCUCAAAUUAAUGCGCUUGAGGUUUAUGAAAUUGUUGAUAUCCCACCUGAGACUUCCUCACUACAGGUAACAUUUUCUUUUGUAUAUCUGAUGGUUUUUUUCUGCUGUCUAGUGCUGAUUCCAUUCUUCCUGAACUUACAGUUUCAGCACUUCAAGUUAUUGAGCAGGCUACCGGUUUUGAUCUUGGGUGGCAAGAUGAUCCAUGCUUCCCAACCCCAUGGGAUCAUAUUGAAUGUGAAGGAAGUACAGUAACAUCAUUGUAUGUAUCUAUUAAACUGUUACUUUGUAAUUUUCUUAGUCUUACCAUAGAGAACUACUCAUACCGGGUUAUCAUCUUAGGGACCUUUCGGACAUCAACUUGAGGUCAAUUAGUCCAACGUUUGGUGACUUGUUGGAUCUUAAAAUACUGUAAUGCCUUUUGCUGUGCAACAUGUUUCUUUUACUAUUAAUAUCGCUGGUAUCCUCAAAAUAAACACUUGCUAAAUGUUGUGAUUUGGUUUUCAGGAAUUUGCAUAACACAUCACUUUCAGGAGCAACACAAAAUCUGGGCAGCCUGCAGCACCUUGAGAAACUGUAAUGUCCGUCAAAAAGUACUCACCCGUUACAGUAUCUUCUAGCAGGACUAAUAAUAUAAUCUUGACUAAAUUCUCAGGAAUCUGAGUUUCAAUCAGCUUACAUCCUUUGGUUCUGAUAUAAGCAGCUUGGUUAACCUUCGAGUUCUGUAAGCUGUUUUCCUAUGUUGUUAUUUCUUUAUAUGAUAAACGAUAAUUGAACUAAUGCUGCAUUAUUGUUAUUGUUAUUAUUUUUCUACAUGUAAGGGACUUGCAUAAUAACAGAUUACAAGGAAUUGUUCCAGACAGCUUGGGAGAGUUAAAAAAUCUACAUCUACUGUAAGUGACUUUGAUAAAUAUGCAGUUUGUUUGUCGUAGCGCAGCCUUGUGUUUCACCUGAUGAAAAACUGUGUUCUCUGUUCUCCAGGAAUCUGGAGAACAACAAACUUCAAGGUACCCUUCCCCUAUCUUUGAAUCGAGAAAGUUUGGAAGUUAGGUAUGGCACUCAUAUAAUAUUCUCCUUUUAUUCUCUAGGCUCUAGCUAUUUAUUCAUGUAUCGUUCGUGAUAGAUAAACUUCCAUACAGAACAUCAGGAAACUUGUGUCUUUCCUUCUCGACAAUGGCAUGCAAUGAUGUCUCGUCAAAUCCUUCAAUUGAGACACCACAAGUUACUGUUGUUACCAAUAGAAAGCACAGGGGGCAUAGGCAUUUAGCAAUUAUACUUGGUGCAGCUGGGGGAACCUUAUUUGCUCUACUCCUUACUUCUCUUUUAGUAUUAUUGUACAUAAAUAAGAGGAAAACUGAAGCCACAUAUACCACAAGUAUGUACUAGUUAUUCACAUUGUUGUUACCGUGAAAUCAGCAACAUGGUUCUUAUACACGCAUUUUUCUUAUAUCAGGUGCAGCAAUUGAUAUGCGAAAUUGGAAUGCAGCAAGAAUCUUCUCCUACAAAGAAAUAAAAGCAGCUACAAAUAACUUUAAGGAAGUUAUAGGCCACGGUAGCUUUGGAUCCGUCUACCUCGGAAAGCUAUCGGAUGGCAAACCGGUUGCUGUAAAAGUGCGGUUUGAUAAAACUCAAUUGGGAGCUGAUUCUUUUAUUAACGAGGUUUAUCAUCUAAAAUUCUCUAUGAUUUUCUUCUUUAACCAUAAAGCAGUAGGAGCUCGUUAAUUUUCUUAGUAUUCUAUUUGUGAUCUUAAUGGAGGACUCUAUGCAGUCUAUUAUAUCUAAUGUUUUGGAGCUUGAUUCUUUAGUUUAUGUAUGAUGUUUGGCUUCUUGCUACAUCUAAUUUUCAGUCACAUCGGCCCUGCAAAAGUUACCUCAUUGUUCGUAGGGUUGCAUGCAGGUUCAUCUCUUAUCACAAAUUCACCAUCAAAAUCUUGUGAGCUUGGAAGGAUUUUGUCAUGAAUUGAAGCAUCAGAUACUUGUCUAUGAGUAUCUACCAGGUGGAUCUCUGGCAGAUCACCUGUAUGGUAUGUUUUCCUGAAUAAAAGAUUUAACAUUUUCAUUUUGUAAUUUUAGCUACAUGUCCUUUAAACCGUUAUAGCUUGUUCUUGAUGUUUGUUUCAGGUCCGAAUAGUCAAAAAGUUUCUUUAAGCUGGAUUCGGAGACUGAAAAUAGCUGUUGAUGCUGCAAAAGGUAUGUCUAAUUGUCUAGCAUUAAAGGAAUCCCUUGAGGGAAUGUGUAGAGUUUAUGCCAUAUUUGUUUGCGGAAAUGGUAUAGUUUCACUUUCACAUUUGUAAGUGGAAACAGCAGGAGGUCCAAUGUUUUUGGCAUAAUAAAUGCUAUUACCAUUUUAUUGCUUCUGAUCAUUGGCCUUGAUUGUUUGGAAGGGCUGGACUAUUUGCAUAAUGGGAGCGAUCCAAGAAUCAUACACCGUGAUGUCAAGUGCAGUAACAUCCUUUUGGAUUGUGAGAUGAAUGCGAAGGUCUGCGAUUUCGGCCUCUCUAAGCAAGUAACUCUGGCAGAUGCAACUCAUGUGACCACUGUUGUCAAGGGCACUGCUGGCUAUCUAGAUCCUGAGUAUGUCUUCCUUAAAUUGUGCCUUUACGGCACCGCACACCAUCAUUGAUGUCGUUUAUUAACUGCAGGUAUUAUUCCACCCAACAACUGACUGAGAAAAGUGAUGUCUAUAGUUUUGGGGUUGUUCUUUUAGAGCUCAUAUGCGGAAGAGAACCGCUGACUCAUUCCGGAACUCCAGAUUCCUUCAAUUUAGUGCUAUGGGUAACCAAAAUUUCCUUUUCCUUUUAAUUUCUUAUUCUUGUGUAUGAAAAGGAGCAUGAAGGUGUGAUGUUGUUGCAUUUGUCAACUAACUGGAGAGUCAUGGAUUUAAGAAGGCUAAUUAGUUUAAGCAUGUUAAUACAAUAUCCUGAAACAUAGCUCUAAGCAACUGGAUCAUAUUUGACUUAAACGCAGGCAAAGCCGUACUUGCAGGCAGGUGCAUUGGAGAUAGUGGAUGACAACUUAAAGGGAACCUUCGAUGUUGAAAGCAUGAGAAAAACAGCCUUAGUCACCGUACGGUGUAUGGAAAGAGAUGCUUCACGGAGACCCACUAUUGCACAAGUGUUGGGUGAGCUGAAAGAAACCUACAGUCUUCAGCUUGCAUAUCUUGCAUCUUUGGGACACUCAGGUUAACCAACAUCAACCCUAUUCCAACUUUGAAAACUUUUCCUGCCCACUAUUUAAAACGAGAUGAGGUAUAUAUAGUUGUUUCAAAAACAGACAUCGUAUAAGACUGCUUAUAUGUAUCUAUUCUGUCAAUGGCAAGCAAUAAUAGUGUAGUGUAGUGUAUUUGGGUAAACUUGCCAAACCAUCCAACAUGUUCGGACACAAUGUUUCAUACAUGUUUCUGUCCCUGCAACAUGUGCAAAUCAAUUGAAAGCAGUGAGUGGGGCUUGGUAUUCAACUAAAUACUGGAUUUUGAAGCAACCAUCCAAUAAUAAAAAAUGACUGCUAUAUUAUUUCUCCUGCGGAAAAAUGCUGUUGUUCUUGCAAAAAGAAAGAAAGAAAAUUAUUUAUUUGCUUUCAGAUGACAUUAUUAGAGUAAUAGACUUAUUAUUCAUUCAAGAAAAGAAAUUUUGACUAUUCAAUAGUUAAUUAGAGCAUAGCCGACAAAGAAGAUGUUGAAUGAUGAUUGUUGGUUUCAGAGGCCAGCUUUUGAAAAUUUUAAUUAUGUUUUUAAAAUUUUAAAAAAUAAUUAUUCCCUUAUGAAAAUUCUGAUUAAAUCUUUAAAAUUUUUUAAAAUUCUAAUUAAAAUGCUCCAAACAUUUUUUUGUUAUAAAAAGUUUUAAUUAGAUCUAUCAAUUCUUUUUUUUUAAAUAUUUUAAUUAAAUACUCAAAACUUAAUACUAAGAUUUGUCAGUAUUGAUUUCUACUAUAUUAUAUUGUUGGAAUUAGUUUAUUUUAUUGUUGAAUAUAAACAUAUGAUAAUAUUUAAUUCUUAGUCUUUUAUAUAUUUAAAAAGUUAUAUACUAACAUUUAUAUUUGAAUAUGUAUAUUAAAAAAAAAGUUAAAUUUUACUGUUAACUUUAAUGCUUUAAGUAAUUGUGACUGUUACCCCUCCGUACCUCCUCUUUCUUCAGGGAGGCUUAUCAUAAGAAUGUUACCUUUCAUACCUCCCUGAAUUUAAUCUUUAUACUUUUUAUUUGUCAUUUCUAACUUAAUUUUUAUAAAUUUUAAAAUUUUAAUCUUAAUUUUAUACUUUUUAUAUGUCAUUUUUAACUUGAUUUUUAUAAAAAUUUAAAAUUUUAGUCCAGAUUUAAAUAGUAUUAUUGAUUUUUACUAUUUACAAAAUAUACGGUAAACAUAUAUGAUUACAUAUAUAACAUUAUAUCAAUUUUUUUUAAAAAUGAUGAAAUUAAUGUUUCAAAAAAUAUCAAAAAUAAAUGUAUAAUACAAAAUUAAUAGCAUAAUUACAAUUAUAAUUGAAGUUAAAAACUGAUAUUCCAAAAAACAAGAAUUAAAGUUGAGCAUAAUAGCAGAAUUGAUUUGAUAUUGAAUACACGUAACUUGUACCGAAAACUGAAAAAUGUUAAUACAUUAACACAAGUCUUGAGAUUCAACAAAAAGAAAAUGUUGAUAUUGUCUCAACGGACUCUCCAAAAAACACAGCUGUAAUCUUUGUCCGAAACAUCAGACAAGAAGUGAAAGGCGGCGAUGGUUUCCAAUUUCAACUUUUUCUUCAAGACAGUCAACCACUUUCCCAUUCCAGGAAAACCCAGGGCCGAGAAAAUUCCAGCUGGAAAUUUUCAUUGAGUUUGAACUUCACUAUUAUCUUUCAUGAUGUUUGAUCAAUUCCGUGUUGUUAUUGUAUUUCUUUUACUACUUGAGUUCCAUUUCUCUGCCUUUCUUGAGCUCUUCAUGUUGUAAUGGUUUCCCCUACACUUACUUCGUGGACCUUAAUUGGUCUUAUAAGAGCCUUUCUCGGCCUUGCUUUAGCUUUUGUCCUUCUCUGUGGAUCAACCUUGGGGUUUUUCGCUUGGAAACUUUAUCAUGUUUUUGGACUUUACUUGCCUUGUCCUUGUUCUGGGUUUCUUGGGUACCAAAAUAGCAACCUCUGCUGGCAUAACCUUCUCAUUCAAUUCCCAGUAACAAACAUUCAUUCUGCUCUUAACUGCCUUUCAAUAGGCUCCCUCUUAACUUACUUUGGUUCAACGAUCAAGACUGGAUUUGGAUGCCAAGUCCAUUGAAUUGCUGGGUGAAGCAUGCCCUACUUCACCUUCAGGUUUAAGAUUGCAAACUAUAGUGAAUAAAAAAAAGAGUGAUUCUGAUACCAAGGGAAAGAAAAGUAUAUAUCUGAAGCAUAAAUCUAAAGUUCAACGAGGUAGGAUAGCUGCUUUUGGCUAUCGAAAGUCUGCUAAUUUCUCAGUUGCAGAUGGUUCUUCUGUUGAUGGAGGUGAAACAAUGAUUGAAAAUUGGGGCCUAGUUAGUGGAAUAGAAGAUUGUUUUCCUGGUAAGUAAAACUUAUCUAAUGUGAUAUCUUUGCAUUAUGGGAAGUUUAACUGCUGCUUCUGAAACUGGUUGAGGUUCUAUGAUUAUUUUUUAACCAUUUUAGUAAGUUAAGGAAUCAUUCAUUGACAUGAAGUUUUUAUUGAAUAUUGAACUAUUAAAUGAUGAUCUUCUCUUAUUAGCAUUACAUUUGUAUUGACCUAUGUGAAACCUGCCAUUUUAGAUGAUAAAAACACUCAAUCUGGCAAUGAUUUGAGUGAGGCAACCUGGCAUGGUUUUGAACUGAGCAGUGGAGAGGGAAAAGGUAACACUAAUGAAAAAUUUGAGGUUACUGGAGAUGGGGAAAAUCGGAUCAAAAUAUUGGAACAAGCUAUAAAAGAAGAAAAAGCUGCAUGUGCUGCUUUAUAUUUGGAGUUGGAGAAAGAAAGGGCCGCUUCUGCUUCUGCUGCUGAUGAAGCUAUGGCAAUGAUUUUGCGUCUUCAAGAGGAUAAGGCAUCGAUAGAAAUGGAAGCAACGCAAUAUCAAAGGAUAAUAGAAGAAAAAUUUGCUUAUGAUGAAGAAGAGAUGAACCUUCUAAAAGAGGCCCUUGUCGGGAGGGAGAAGGAGAAUCACCUUUUGGAGAAAGAAGUUGAAGCUUACAGGCAGAUGGAUACACGUAGAGAUGAGCCAGAGGAGUAUGAUUUUUUCGACAUGAUGCAAAUAAAGGGGGACAAAUUCCUUCAGUUUCACUUGGAUUAGGUGAAGAUCCGUUGCUGAUGGGAAACAGUGGAUCCACCAGGAAGAAUGAAGUGGGAAAAGGUUCUAGUUGGCCUUCGGAAUUUCAGACUUCAUCAUCUGAGAAAUUAAGUCAUACUGUGGUUGUUAAUUUAACUGGGAAAGGAAAGGGACAAGAUGAUGAUGAUGAUGAUGCCAUAGUAUGCCAAGCAAUAACAAGAAAAACUGCCCCAAGUUCUGGUGGCACUUCUUUAAGUGUAGAUGAGCUUGAGAGAAAUUCAGACUUUGGUGAGCCACUAGGCAGAAAUCUACACAAUUCCACAUUUGAUAUGGAACCAACUGUUUAUGAUGUCCAUGUUAUUGAUGAUAACAAAGAAAGUCCUAAGGAGGAGAAUAGUAAAAAAAGUAAACUGCCAAUUGGUUCUGCAUCAGACCACAAAACCUUUCUAUAUGACUUAGAGAGGAGUUCUUCUGCAGUCAGUAACGAGAGGCUGGAGAUUGAUGCUGAAAUUGAACACCUUACAGAGAGGCUACAAAUAGUUGGAGGAGAAAAAGAGAAGCUGACUUCCUCUGCCGAUCAGAGGGAAAGGAUAGAUAUCCUAUUGAAACUCAUCAAGGAACAGGUGAAGCAGCUUCGAGAAUUUCAGCGGCUAAAGGAGCCUGUUCAACAGACUUCUUUACCUCCUUUAUCUCCAUCCUCUAAGGUAGUGUUACAUUUCAAUUUGACAGUUUUUCAUUUUAUAAACCAAGGGUAACUUUUGUUUGCAUGCUUGUUAGCUAUCUGCUCUUAUGCUUGCAUCAAAUUUCCAUUUUUGAGCUCCUGACAGGGAGAAAUCAACAAUCCAGUUUUUCUUCUAUACAAUCAACAAAAACAUGAUAAUUUGUGUCGAUACAGAAUCUUUGUAAAAUCAUUGUUCCAUAUCUGCAUGAAAAGUGGACAACUCAAGUGAGUGAAUGUCAACCGAGUAAACGUAGUGUAUGUGUGAGACAAAACUGACCAUAGUUUUCAGAUGUAACCCUACUUAUUAAGCAUAAAAAUAUUGAGAAAUGACUGUUGCAAUUUUCCGUAACAUCAGUUGCAUGAUACUGCCAUAUUUAUUAUUAUUUCCUUAGUAGCAUAUCUGUGAACGCAUUUCAAGAGUGUUUUUUUGCUUUCAUGGGGUUGGAGUGAAAAAAAUACUCUUUGAAAAUCAAUAUUGUGUGAUCCCAAAGCGUCAUUUCUUCCUUCAAGUAUAAUUCUGUUGGUCAAUUGCAUGAUGAUGAUGAUCGGAAAAUAUAUCUUGAAGAAUGUUGUUUUUCAUUUUUCCACUACUAUUUUCUUACAGAACUUAUUGACUACUUAGGUGUCUAUACAUCAUUCCUUGCUUAGGACUUACUUCAGUUGCUUCUGUUUAGGUAGUAUGGAUGUUGUUUGAGGUCUAAUACCAAUAUCAUUAAGUGUAGGGUCCUUCUCUAUGGUGAGCUUCUUAUGCGAAUAUUUUAACCUUCCAUUAUUCGGGUUGUUUUCGAGAUAAUAUCUGGUUUUUAUUGUCAAAACACCUCCAAAGUCACCUAAAUUGUGUGCUGUCAGGAUGAUGUUAAGGCUGUUUUUUUCAUUUAAAAAUCAUCCAUAAGAAAGCUGUUGCUUUGGUGAAUUAAAAGGGACCAACCAUAUGAAGUUAAUACAAUGGGAGUAAUAUAAUAACAAGUUUGGUGAUAAUAUUUAUAUCUUACAACUGGCAGAGGACUAGAAAUUUGGAUUCUAGGUGGAUUCAUGUAGCUUACCUAUUUAAUAUGUUCAAAUUGAGAUUUUUCUUGUUAUUUAUAUGUGAACUUCCAACUAAGGGGAAAGAGCUUUAAAUGAUUUUGUUGCCUUGAAUGUCGGUGGACUUUUAUAUAGGUCGUUAGAACCGGGUUUAAUUAGUAUUCAAUCUUCUGCAGAAAAUGAGAACAACUGUAAUCCUUGCAUGAAUCUUGUUGUCAGAAUUGUGUCAUGUUUUUUCAGCCAUUUCUUUCAUAGUUGCUAACAACCAUUCGUGUACUAUCAGCUCAGCUCCACUAAAAGACGCAGGUGAAAUGCAUUGGUCAAAAUCUAUGAUAGUGCCUAAGCCAGGUACAGUUGUUAUCACAGCUCGGAAAAAUCAUCCCAAUUGCUCCAAGGUUCGCCUUCAGUCCUUUUUGAGUUAGUUCGUAAGUUGUCGGUAAAAUCCGUAAAACAUAGAAGUUAGCGUGUGGAAGGUAGUUGAUUUAGUUGGGUGUUUGAUGCCUUGCCUGCUGAAAAAAAUGUAUGUAAACCUUUAAAUAUUAUGUUACUUUCAAUUGAAUUAGGGUAGCUUCAAAGUUGUCUCUGGUUGACCCCUCAAAUGUUGGUCUGACCUAUAAAUAAAUAAUCAAAGGCCAACUUUGAUCACUGGUUUGUCAUCUUUCUUGGCUUCGAGUACAACGGGUUAUGCCAAGGAGCUGCCUAUGGAUUUAAUUAUAGUUUGAAAAGGAAAAUGUACAAACAGAAAAGGACAAGAAAAGUUGACAUUAUGUGGUCACCAUCUUCUCGAUGCAAUCUUUAUGAUUAGAAGAAUGUAGUUGGGAGCUAGGACUAUAUUCCAUGGUUGACUUUGUUUAUUUGCCUGAGCCCUGAUGGAUCACGUCGACUCAAGCUUUUACCUUGUAAUUUCAGGAUUAGAAGUGAAGUAUUCCACUAUAGGUGAAGAUGUAGUUCAUUGAUUCUAAUACUAUAGCAGUCAUAAUGAUUAAAAUUUGUGACUUUGAAUCCUAAACUGUAAUGAUAAAUGUUAAAAUUAUAGUUUAUUUAUUUAUUAGUCGAAAGUAAGGGAAUUGGAUGCAUAUGUGUGCCCAAGUUUAGGUAAUUAUUAUGGUUGAAUGGCUCUUCUUGAUCCAUAUCUUUUCAUCAUUCAUGUGCCUGAAAACCAAGACAUGAAUCAAUGUCCUUUGCUUGCCACGCACCCAACCGCGCACCAGGAUGUCUUAGCCUUAAAGUUCUUAGCUUUUUGCUUUCGGCCUUUACCAACCCACCCUUAGCAAUGGGACCUUAGCUGGAAAUAUUAUGCUCACCAAAAAGUGAAUGCAAUGUUUUGUACCCAAGUAACGGUAGAUUUAUUUUAUGACCUAUUUUUUUUAAAUUCGAGAUUAUUAUUAUUAAUUUGAUAAAAAAAUUAUUUAGAAUUAUUUUUAAACUUUUAUAAAAGUUAAUAUAAGAAUACAUGUUUGAAAAAAAAAAACAAGUUUUGAGAUUUCAUCCGAAUUUAGGCGCUACUUUUGGUGCUUUUGUAUUAUAUGAUUCUAAUAGAAUAUUGUUCUUUGAUGGGAAAGUUGAUAUGUUUUGAAAAUUAAUGAUUGAAAUCUUGAGAAAAUUAAGUUUACUUUGGUGGGAUGGGAUGAUAUCAUAAUUUACCGAAUUUCAUUUUAUUAAUUAAGAGAUAAUAUUCAAGUAUUUUAAUAUUUUUAUUAACCAUUCACAUACAUAUAGUUCUUAAAUUGAGCCCUCGAGGCCCUAGAAGUAAUUUAGAAAUAAUUCGAGACCAAAUUAGAAACAUUUGGUAAGUCUAGGAAAAAAUUGCAAAAAUUUGGAUUCAGGGGUCACACGGCCGCGUGCCAGGCCGUGUAACUCACUGACUUGCAUACAAAGGAACUUAUAGGAGACACACAGUCGUGUCACCAGACCGUGUGCCACACACAGCUGAGUCACAUGCCUGUGUCUCAGGCCGCGUGGAUCUAAAAUUUGCGUGAAAUCAAGCCAUUCCUAACACCAAUUCAUGCAUAAUCGUUUAAGCCUUUUGUACACAUAAUCAAGGCACCAAAACCCUAUCAAAACAUACAUAUAAUGACCAAUUCAAGAGUCUUAAAUCAACUAACCAAUAUGCCAUUCAAGGCACCUCAAACGCAAUCAUCAAGACUUACCUAAACAUGCAUAUUUUACCACUUUCCAUUCAUCAACUACUAGUUCAAUACCUUUCAAAACAUGCCAUAGUUUAAACAUGAUCAAGCUACUUCAAAACAUAUUAUAUGAGCCAUUCCAAAACAUGUAUAAUAAGAUAACUACAACAACACAAUCUAACAGGCAUCAAAUGUUGUCAAACCAAGAUAACAUCCAUAACUUAUACACGACAAAUCCCAACUAAAAAUUCACCAAAAUAACAUUAAAAGCCCACCUAUACAUGCCAUUAUAACCUUGACUAAAACAUUUAAAAACUACCGAUAUUUAUGUUAGAUAGUGUGAUAGAUCUUUGACGAGUUUCCAAAUCGAUCGAGCUACCGAUAAUCUAUAAAACAUAGGAAAGAAACUACGUAAGCACUUAAUGCUUAGUAAGUUCGUACAACAUAAACACAACUUACCAUUUCAUUUGCAUAAUGUAAAUAGCAUAAUUAUAACACCAACUAAUACCAUAAGCUUGGCACAAUGCCUAUACAACAUCACCAAACAUCACCAAAUACACAAGUUAGUGCAUUUAUACAUGGUUCAAAUGAUUUCAUUUAUAACUGAUGUGGUCGUUGAGAGCACCAAAAAUAUCUUAUUCAUUAUAAAAUAAUAAAAAUAACAGUAAAGGGGAAGUAGGGUCGAAUCUUCAGGUACUGGAUUGUACGAAUGCUCGUUUCUUGAAAUCUUGGACAAUUUCUUGGCCAAGAAACUUGCGUUCCUGAAAAAAUAAAAAAAAACAGAAUUAAGAAUUUCGAUUUAGAAAAAUAAAAAUAGUAUUUAAAUUAAAUUGAAAUUGCGAAAUUAAAUAAAUGACGAAAAUUGAGAUGGAGAAUAUAUAAAAAUAAUAAAGAGAGUUAAAGGAAAAGAAAUUCUUAUUGGUAGAUUCCAGCCUCCAGUUGUCUCAUUCUGCUUUGGGUUCAAUCCUCCGCUUUUAAAUAACCUUUCUCAACUCAAGUAAGCCAGUUAUAUUGGAAGAGGACGCCUACGACCACCAGCUCCAAAGAUUAGACUUACGAUUUUUAAGGAACCUGACUCUAGCCAGUAAUCUAUGCUAGAUCAACGCUUCUCAAUGGCGAAUCCCACGCCAUUUUGUCUCUUUGGCUUGCCAACCUUUGACGCAGUAAGUUAACGAACCGACUGUGUAAUCCUUCCAAAACAUACAAAGCGACCGCCUUUGCAUAUGCUGAAAAUCUUACUUCUUAAGGGCCAUGGACGGAAGCGUCAGCCCAUAGUGCGGAGAAACGAUGAAUACUUGGCGAGAAGGCUAAGUACAGAUUCUAGGCCUCAAGAACCCUUUUUGGGGAAUAUUGACAACUUUCGGCUAGAUAGGUUUUAGUGGCUUAUGAUAAUGGUGGAAAAGGAAAUAAAUAUAAAAAUGGAAAAGGGGAUUUUAUUGAAAGAAAAUAUGAAGAAACAAAAGCCUAGACUUUCAGGGGGAGAGUGUUUACAGAAAAGGAUGAACCCCAAAUAGAGUCACUUCACCCCCUAUUUAUAGUGCUAGGGAGAUAGUCUAAUUGAACUUAAAUUCUAAAAAGAUAAAUACAUUUAAUUAAAGAUAAAUAAAGAUAAUUAAAAUAAAAUCCUAAAUUUGAAUAAUCCUAAUAAUUAUCUUAAUAUUAAUUAUCCUAAUAUAAAUAAAAUGGAGUCUUAUAGAAUAAAAUCUCUUCUUUUUGCGUUUUUAGUCCUUGUGUCUUCCACGCUCGCACUUUUGGCACAAUCUUUUUCCUGUGUCGCAUAUUAGCCCAAUGUGUCUCCAAAUUCGCACUUUUGUCCCUUAAUUUUGCUUUUGCCUCCAAAUCAGUCCCUAAAAGAUAAAAAGACAUAAAUAGCUCAAAUUAGUAGGAUCAAGCUCAGAAUAAACACAUGAUUAAUACAUAAAAAUAUGUUAUUCUAGAGCAUUAUCAAAUUCCCCCUACUUAGCCCAUGCUUGCCCUCAAGUAUGGUUCCUAUCCACUGUGAAAGUUAAAUUCUGCCAUAAGAGAAAUACCACUCCAAAGUUUUAUAAGAAUUAGUUAAAAAUGCAUAUAAAAAAUAAAGAGAACCCUAAGCUUGCUUUAGGUAAAAUAGAAAAAGUUUUCCAAUUAAUACACACAGAAAUUAAAAUCGAUUUUAAUUAUUUCAUGGAAAUUAGGUGAAUUACUAAACCUACCAAGACACCCUCUUUGUUUCUUCCUUAGUCCCAAACUUUAUUUAUUUACAUAUAUUUUCUCUUUUUUUCUUUUUUUUUUUACUUUUUAUUUUAUUUUAUUUAUGUAUGUGUGUAUGUAUGUUGAACUUUUUGACGCGAAGAGUGAUGACAGCCAAGCACCAAACCCCGGUUACUUAGCCCAACAUACUUUUUAUUUUUUAUUUUUCCUAAGAACAUGUCGAACCUUUUGAUGCGAAGAGUGAUGACAACCCAAGCACCAAACCCCGGUUACUCAGCCCAACGCAUUCUUAAGAAUUAAUUUCAGUUAGCGGAGCUUUAACUAUCACGUCACACAACCUUUUGACGCGAAGUAGAAUGACAACCCAAGCACCCUACCCCGGUUACUUAGUCAGUCACGUUCUAAGCUGUACUCAUAACCACGGAAAAAUUUAUUAACAAUGAAAUUAAAAAUUUGAGAACUUCGAGAAAAACAAUUUAAGUGUCAAUAACAAGUUUCAAUAAUCACCUAAUAGCCAUGAACAUUAAUUUAGCAUGC
rnacentral:lncRNA from 1 species